UUGGUAGUGUUGGGUGCCAAAUCCAUUCAUGCCACUGUGAUAUCUGCCCCUAACGUCUAGUAGCUUUCCAAGCACUUUUUGCAGAAAUUUUUCCAUCCAAUUUUUCAGUCCAAAUCAAUUUGUCUUUACCUAUCUCAUUUUUUCCCAAUUUAACAAGAAUUUCUCCCACUUGAUCUCUCCCAACUAACUCCUCCAACAGCCUUUCAUUCCAUCCGUUGUCAGCUUUAAGAUCCUUGAUCAAGAUUUUAGGCUAUUCAACCACUAACAACCGAUCACCCAAAGAAUCCAUGUUUGACAAUUUAUCCCACCAGAACGCAACACCACCUUCCUUCACUCGCCAUCUAGAUCGUUUGAGAACAUCUGGCAUGCACUUCAUAACCAUCUUCCAGAAUCUUGAUCCUUUAGUAGCAUCCACCUGAGAUAUAUGUUUGUCUUUGAUAUAUUUUGCCCUAAAAAAUUUUGACCAAAGAGAUGUUUCAGUCAAAAUUUUCCAAGCAAAUUUCAUAUUUAGUGAUAGUUGCACUUCAUGUAGACUACGAAGUCCAGCACCGCCUUCUUUAACAGGCAUACAAAUUUUGUCCCAUGCUACCCAUUUCCUCUUAGGCUUUCCAUCUGCAUAUCCCCAGAAGAAAUCACUAAAUAUUCUAUUAAUGACUUUUAUAAUCGAAGAAGGAGCUUUUAUACAAGAAAUCGAAUGCAAAGGUAUGCUUGUGAAGACAUGUUUCAGAAGCAACAGUCUAGCCCCUUUAGAUAAGACUCUACUUUUCCAACCUGCCAAUCUCAUACGAAUUUUUUCUACCACUUCCUCAAGAUCUUGAGCUCUCAAUCUUCCUGUGAUUAUAGGAACCCCUAACUAUUUGAAAGGGAAUUUACCUUCAGUGAAUCCAGUGAGUCGUAAGAGCAUCCGCCUUCUUGACACGGUGAUCUGUUUACAGAAAAGGAUGCGUGUCCCGACCAUUCUUCAUAUUUUCUGAAUACUUCCUUAAUAGCUCUUAACGAUUUUUUGCCACCAUUCGCAAAUAUCACGAUGUCAUCAGCGUACGGUAGAUGAGAAAUUAGGGGAGCCCCCUUUGGCAAGGAAAAAGGUCUUAUGCUUCCAUCUUCAUAUUUAGCUCUCAACAUUUUGGAUAAAACUUCUUCAACCACGAUAAAGAGAUAUGGGGAUAGGGGAUCCCCUUGUCUCAAACCUCUUCCACCUUUGAAGAAACCCUUUAUUGUUCCAUUCAUCAUCAUAGAAUACCAAGGAGAGGUUACACACUAUCUUACCAGAUCACAAAUCUUGGGUGAGAAACCAAAAGAUCUCAAAACGCGCAUAAGAAAAUCCCAAUCAAUGCUGCCAUAUGCUUUGGCAAUAUCCACUUUAAGCACUACAUUUUCACCCCUUACAGGCUUGUGAAGGUAAUGAAUCAUCUCUUGAGAAAGAGUAAUAUUAUCAAAAAUACUUCUCCCCGGAAUAAAAGCACCUUGCUCCAUAGAAAUAAUUCUUGGUAGAAUUAAAGCUAUUCUUUUAACCAGAAUUUUCGACCAUACCUUGUACAUCACUAAGCAUAGACUGAUUGGUCUGAACUUGUCAAAACUCGAAGGGGAAGCUAUCUUCGAAAUUAACAACAUGUAGGAUGAGGAGUAAAAUCUUGGAAUAUCCGUACCUCGAAAGAAAUCGCACACUGCCUCCACAACAUCUUCACCCACAAUGUCCCAACAAGAUUUAUAGAAGCCAGAGCCAAAUCCAUUAGGCCCAGGGCUACUGUCAACUGGGAUAGAAAAGACUGCUUUUUUGACCUCCUGGGGAGUAGGAAGCCUUCCUAUUUCCUCAUUCUCUGCUUCUGAAACAGUUGGUUGGAUCCAGGCUGAUAAGUCUGGUUGGUCUCUUCUGGGUCUAGCUCCUAAUAAAUUUUGAAAAUAGUCAACCGUUGCGUGAUGGAUAGCCUAAGGAUUUUCAAGCACCGACCCGUCUCUUAGUUUCAUCUCCUUGACCUUGUGAAAGGUCCUACAAUUAAAUUGCUUGAAGAAUUGAUUGCUUACUUCACUUUUCUCAAUCCACCUCUGCUUUGCUAUUUGUUCCAGGCGCAUUCCAUCUCUCUUUUCCCAAAUGGCAAGUUCUGUUUUUGUAGCAAAAUCUCAACCUCCUCCAAAUGAGCCACUUGUAGGCUAGCGUCCAACUCUUCUAACUCUUUUUCCAGCCGCUGAAUGUGUUCCCGCGUCCACCCAAACACUUCUUUGUUCCAUUUGCGUAGUGUAGUCCUCAACCUUUUAAGUUUUCCAACUAGGCACCAUAAACCACUUUCUUCUGAGUUUUCUCCCCAUACCUUAAGUACACAAUCCUUAGAGUUCUCAUGUGUAGUCCACAUUUGUUGAAAUUUAAAUCAUGUAGGGCCAUAGCGAACCAUAUGUGUCUCUAGCCAAAUCAGCAUUGGUGCAUGGUCUGAUGUGGUGCGAGCUAAAUAUCUCAUAUGAACGUUUGGAAAUUGCUCCAAACAGUUAGAAUCAUAAAAUGAUCUAUCCAAUUUUGCCCAACUCCUAUUCCAACCUAUGUGACCAUUACACCAAGAAUAAGGUUCUCCACCAUCUAAGUAUAUUUCCAUCAACCCACAGUUAUCAAUAAAUUGAUUAAAAUCCUCCAUAGCACCCAUUGGUCUAGGUCAGCCUCCACGCCUUUUUGAAUUGUUUCUAAUACUAUUAAAAUCUCCAAUCACUACCCAAGGAAUGUCUGAAUGGUUCACCUCUUCUAAUUCUGACCAAAGCAGCCUUCUUUCUACAGCUGUGCAUUUUGCAUAAAUAAAAUAAACCACCACCAGGUAAUUCCCUUCUAUCGCCAGGCAAGUGAUUUGUUAGUUGCUUUUAUUUAUCAAAUGAACCUGUACAUCAUGGCCCCACAAAAUCCAUAAUUUUCCUUCCACGUCAUCAUUCGAUAAACCAAAAUUAAAUUUUAGUUUCUUUUGCGAAUUUUCCAUUCUAUCCGUCGUUUGCCAAGGCUCCGCUAUUGCAACUAGUUUUGGCUUAUACCUUCUCACCACCUUCCGUAGCCUACGUGUCGAGGUCCCUAUACCUCACACGUUCCAAAAGAAAUAGUUGCAACUCAUAGAUGAAGCCUAGAGGGUCCGCUUGGAACCCUUGUAGAGCGUCUGACCUUGUGUACUGUUUUCCUCGUAUGCUGUUGAGCCCUUUGUUCAGAAUCUGAAAUACAAUCACGAAUACUUCCUAGUUCCUCCACAGUACCUUCCACCUCUGUAUCUGAGACUAUUGUAUCAACCCCUGCAAUGCCAUGUUCCCUAGUUUCCACUUGUAUCUCCUCAUCAAUUUCUUUGAUACCUUCAUCAUCUUCUAUCCUUUCCAUUAUGUGUGUUGCCAUUACAUUUAUUUGUUCAUUAUUCUCAAUCGUGACCAACAAAUCUUCAUUCAAAUUUGCCUCUCUCUCCUCUAUUUCUCCUUCUUCCCUUGCUUGCUCCUCAUCCACCAGAUAAGACACACCUAUGGGUUUCACAGGAUUGUCUCCUCCAAGCAUAAUAGGAUUGCUCCCACUAGUCUUCGAGGCUAUAGUUCCAUCCUCAUCCAUAUUUUUAUCUCUCGCCAAUUCCAUCUCCAUUCUAUCCUUGUUCUCCUUAUUAUUUUCCACAUCUAGGUUAUAUGUCAUACUACUUUCACCAACCUUUGUUUUGUUUAUAGCAUGCAAAGUAGUCAUUCCUCCACCCUCUUGCAUAUGUUGUUUUCCGAUUCCCGCAUCACUAGCCAUGUCUCCAUUUUUUCGUCUCCACGCUUAUUUUUCUGGACCGGUAGUAACCACUAUCUUCUUUCUCUGCCUCUCAUGGGGUUGCUGGCCAACUCGACAAACAAGAAAGAUUUAUUUUGAUUAAAAAAAUUUAUUUUGUUCCAGAAUAAUUAUUGAAGUUUACAUUUGUUUCAAUUUAAACACUCGAUUAAAUUCUCUGUGUUUCUUCUAACAGAAUGUCUCAUCUAGCUUGACAAACGGUAAUUUAACAGGGCACCAAUGUGAAGGUUUACCACGUCACACAACAUGUUAGAAAAUCUAACACAAUUUAAUCGAGUCACCAAGUUGAAAUAAAAGACAAACCUUAAUGGCUAUAUUUCGAUAAAAUAAAGUUUAGUGAUACAAUAGAAAAUUUCAAUAUGAAGAGAUAUUAACAACAUGGCAUUGCUUAAGAGCAUCACAAAUUAAAUAUUACUUGUCGAAGUAAAUAACAUUGUACUUAGGAUAACUUCCCUUGUACACUUGUGAAGGGGGUGUAAUGCAUUAUAUACACCAAAAGUGUACCCAUGUGUUACCCUAGGCUUUAAUAUUGCUAUUUUUAUACUUAUCUAUUUAUUGUAAAAUCCAAAUUAGUCGAAUAACAACAAUUCGACGCUAGACAAAAACAAAUGCAAUAAAAGCUGGCAAGUCUUUAUCUGUUUGACAAUAUUCAUGCCUCACAUGGAUACUAUGUACAAUGUUUAUGUUUGAAUAGUGUUCUGAACUAUCUGAACUAUCAAUGCGCAGAGCCAGUAAGUAGCGGUUAGAAAAGUGGGCGAGGUAAAUUUCUUUUCGUCAUAGGAAUUACUGUAGCAUUAGAAGAGGACAUAGUGUAACAUUGAGGCGAACAUCUAUAAAAUUUGUGCUCUUUUGUCUAUUUUCUUUCUGUGAUUUUAUUCCUAUUGGUAGUAGAAUUAGAGUUUUUGAUUCUCAACAUCCUUUUCUCUUCUGACUUUCUAAACCCUUACACAAUUAAAACUUAAAAUGACCUUUAUUUUCAUUAAGAGAAUAAGAUUGAUCUUGAUAUAGACUAGACUUUCCUGAUGGACUGUAACUACAAGAAACUGUCCGAAUAGAAUGGUUUUCCAUAAAUCAUCUUCUUGAGGCUGAAAACAGAAAAUCCUAUGUGUCUAACGUGUUCAAAGUUCAGUACAUUUAUUCCAUUCGGUUAGGCCUAAUAAAAGCUAAGAAUCAGGUUCAUUGUAAUCGUCCUUGAUUGAUUUGAUUAGCUUUGUUGUUCCUAUCGUGCCUUUUACCAUUUCUUCUUUGUAAAUGACUCUUUGAUUUCCAAGGGUAUUGGCCCGGAACUAAUUAACCAAUUGUGUAUCGAUAGUCUUCUCUGUUUCAUCUUCAUAGUUCAUGGGAUCCCAUGGCCUCCAUGGAAUGGCCUCUCAAAUUGAAUGCCUCGAUCCCAGCUUCUUGACGUGGUUAGCUUUUUGCUUUUACCGAUGGUACGCUCAAGCACGUCUGCUGCUCUUCCUUUAAGCUUCAUUUAGAUUCAGGACAAUAACAGCAAUAGACCUAUUCAUCUGGGGGUCGAGGCUUCGACGAGACUUAUAACAGUCGGGGCAUUUAUUGUGAAUGUAGAUGAGCAUUAGGAGCUCACUGAAAGGAUCCGAGCAUAGAAUGCUACUUUUUUGAUGACCCAAGUACUUUGCUGAUAGGUCAUUGAAGUGAAUUAUCAAUGGUUACGAUCAGCAUAUGCUUCACUGUCUAUGAUCUCUACAUGGCCAAAUAAAGACAUGAUAAGACCACAAUGUAGAUCAGUAUCCAUACGUAUGAUUUUGAUCCUAAUCAAUUGACAAUUGAUCUUCAUUUCUAAAGGGAUUAGUCAUUAAUGAGCACAGUUGAUUCAUUUUGUAAUGUGGACCACACAGUAUCAGGAAAUAUUAAGAAAGAAAACUUAAGCUAAAUCUUGUUCAUUAUACUUCUUCAUCCUAUCUAAUAUUGUGUGCGGAAUGUGCUAAUAAGGUUGACAAAUAUUGUUUGGCCUACAAAUUCCCUUCUGUGGUUUGAAUGAGAGAGCUAGAUGACUUACCCAUCCUCCUGCAUUUGAUUUACAGAACAGCUUCAAUGAUACCUCUGCAACAUAUGAGACAUCAUCUCUCAAGGGAAUCUGCAGUAAAGUGCAGAAAAAAAAGAAAAUUCUGAAUACAGAUCCGGAGUUUCAUUUUUAGACCGAGAAUAAGCCCGUAGUUAAACCACUGAGUGCAAAAUUGGCUGGAACAAGCAAUCGAGCAUUUAUUAUUUCAAGCUUGUACGCCAAAGAAGAUCCCAAAGGCUGUCCAUCCGGUAUAUCCACAGCCAAAAUAAAAGUUCCAAGUGAAGCAGGCUGGCUAAGACUCUCAGCAAGGAAUCCACAUAUCAAGAUUAUUACAACAAUGAAUAUGUAAGCUCUUCUUGAUCAUCAGCAGCCACAAAGAAUUGUGCUGCCACUUGAUAUGAUGAAGAUAGUGUUAUUGUUUGAUGGGAAUUCUUGAAACUUCCGUAAUCAAUGAGAAUCCCGACGGAACAAGGAGCCCUUUCGUGUACACUUUUGUUGAGAUGCCUAUAUGCAUAGACCCGCUCUUCAAAAGUCCAUUGCUUGUGAAAUUGAAGUAUUAUGAGAAUGGUUCUUGUUAGGUUUUUUGAUACCCAAUAAUUCGGGCGAUGAUUUAAAACAGUUGUUAGAUUAUUUAUCGACAUCAUGGACUUGGCUCGGCUCGGAGACGAACUACACUUUUGGAUGGCUCAGGUUUGGGUUGGAUGAUUAUUUGGUUAGUUGAGCCAUUUAGUGAUUAAUAUGGAGUUGUAAAUUGAUCCAUUAGUUUAAGCUAUAUUUGGUGACCUAAACUAACCUAUAUAUAUGUAUCUAUCUCCCAGCCGUUUUUGGUGUGUGUGUUGUAGCAAUGGAGAGGAGAGUUGAGAGAAGAGAGGCAGUCAAGAUAGAGGGAAGCCAUGUGAGGUUGUGAGUAAGAUUCAACCAUUGUGAUAUCUUCUUCUUCCUCUCCAUACCUUUGUGGAUUACUAACACCACCACCCUUCUCCUUUGUGGGGUUACAGAGAAAGAGAGCAGUCCAAAGUGAAAACGAAUGUCUUGGGUCGAGCCGAGGUAAAUCGGUGUUCGUUUGAUUAUUUUCUAAACUCGAAAUCAAGAUUUAUCGAGGGAUUUUCGCUACAAAUGGUAUCAGAGCUUGUGUUGUUAAUAAAUCUGUGAUUUUUGGGGCUAAAGUCGAGUUGGAAGUGGUCGAAAACGGAUCUGGAAAUCAAAGACAGAAACUGUCCAAUUUUUUCAAAUUUCUGUCGGAUUUGUUUUGGCAUUUUCUGGUGAAACCAAAAGGAGUUUGGCAAAACGGACACCACCGGUGGACUGUGUAGGUGGAUAAGAAGUCGGAAGGGUGAUAGAUCGUCGGCGCCGACGUGUGGGGACGCCGACUAGGCACGUGAGGGUGCGUCUAACGAAAUUCGGUGAUGGUGUCUUCAGAAAGAAUGUUGCUGGAGAUGAGACGGACCCUGCGGUGUUAUCGGAUUUCAGUUUUGAGCAAUGCAGCGAAAGUUGGACGAUUUUGCCCUUGGACGUUCAGGUGCCGGGUACUGUUUUCGUGUUGUUGUGGUUGCUGGAAACUUUGUGAUGGAUAGGGAUAUUCUUAAAACGGCGAAAAUUCACAUGUCUCGAUAUUUACGGACCUUCAGACGUGGUCCGCUCGGUAUCAUAUUCUUUACUUUUUAUUAUUGUAGUUAAAAUUAAUGUGUAGGUUAAUAAUUUAUUUUUCGCGUUAGAAGUCAUCGUGUGGGGUGACGUUAAGUUUGGAGUAACCAUUGCCUGUUGUUAGACCUAUGAAUUACAUUUUAAUUAAUUGUCUUAAAUUCUAUGCGAAUUUGUCACCAAUUUUUUCUACACCGAUAGAAUUGCAUAUGACCUUAAGAAAGUUUACUUGACUAUUAUAUGUGAAUUAUAUGUCAAUACUUUGCUUGUGGUCAUUAUUUGGUAUUGUUGGCAUGUAUAGGUCUAAGGCAAGUGUGAAAAAUAAAAUAUAUUUUAAUUGUGGUAAAAUUUGGGUAUAGUUGAGAUUGUCCUAGGAUGAUAAUAAAAGGAAAGAUGAGGAUAUAGACGAGGUGAAUGUGACUUUAGGGUCGAGUAGUGAUCCUAGUGAGGUUUAUUAAGAAAAUAAACCUGGUUCUUGCAUUGCAUCUGUAUGUAAUCCUUUCUGCAUGUAUGUGGUCAAUUAAUUCUGUUGCAACGUUGGUAUGUUACACUUUCAAUAUGUUUGAUGUGUGUAAUUGCAUGAAUUAGAGUGACUUAUUACUUUGUGUAAUAUGUUUACAUGCAUAGUGAGUUAAAUUUUGUGGCGUACUCUAUUUGUUCUAUGAGUGGUGUGAGAAGAAAGUUGGACAGUCGUUUCUCUCCUUUGUCUUUGUGAGCCCGUGUAGUUUGUGAGAUUAUGUGAGACAGUCAUGUUAGGGUUGCCUUCUUUAUCUUUGUGAGCCUCCUUUGUGAGUGUUGUGAAGUAACCGACUCUUUCUUCGAUUUUUCUUUGUGAGCGCCACCUUCGCCAUUUUCUUUGUUGAUUUUUUGGAACUUUGGUGAUUGGGGUAAACUUUGUGGUCACCGAAAGGUGUUGAUUUGCCCUAGUGAAUUUGAGAAGUAUUAGCAGUGUGUUGUGUGCCUUUUGGCAAGGUGGAGUAUAGAUGGCUAGGGAUACAUGGUGGUUUGUACUGGGAAUAUGGAGUGUGGCAUUUGGAUCACGAGUGAAGAUGUGAUCAAAUGUGUAGAAUCUUUUAUCUAUGAAAGAGACCCUGAUCAGGUGGAGUGUGAGAGAGACACUUCUGUCACUUCUGUAAGGUGGAGUCUCAUUAUCCACGUAGGUUGGGAGAAGUGAUGUGGUGAUAGAGGAUUAUCCCGAGAGUUUAGGAUCUAUUGUGACUUGCCAGUUAGACAUGAGUUGAGUAAUCUGUUUAGUGAGCAUGAUGAGCGAUGAGAGGAGAUAUGUGUUUUUGAGGUGUGAGCAACACGGAAUGGGAUAGGAUAAGUGUGGUGAGAUCUUUUCUUAGGGUCAUUUAUGUAUGUGUUGCAUAUGUGGUUGACCGUGGUUUGAUUAACUAGGUGUUAAUCUGUGGUUCUGUGUGAAUGUGAUUUUGAAAAGAUCUGUGUGUGUGUUAUCCUAUAUAUCUUCAUCGCAUGAUUAGUUGUUCACUGUGAAUACUUGUUUCUACUUGGGUAUUCUUGACCUUAACCCUGGUGAGUACAUGGAGCAAGUAUCGUAUGUGUUUCAGGUUGGAAACACGAGGUAAGGUCUGUUAUUCCAAUUUUAUUGGAUUACUUUGAUUAUGCAAGUAUAAACUGUGUGUUUUGGUUGCUUGCAGACUAUUGGGCAUCAAGGUGGAGAUUGUUGGAUUUUUUGAUAUCCAAUAAUCCGGACGAGGUAAACCGAUGUUCGUUUGAUUGUUUUUUGAGCCCGGAAUCAAGAUUUAUCGAGGGAUUUCCGCUAUAAAGCUAUGAAGCAAACAUCGUUGUGUAAUGUUAAAUAAGGAGAGAUUGCCAUGCAGCAAUGUACCAGGAACAAUAUGGGAUCUUGCUCUUAGAACUUUUUGAAUGCAUUGAAACACACUCAGAUUCAGUGGGAUUCGAAGAAGUCCUCCCACAUUACCUAUGACAACAAGUAAAGAAGAGGAACGACUCAUAAGCUUCACGAGGUGGAGGAUGUCCUAAUCAAUAGGACUAGUUUUUGUGGGAUUGCAAAUUACUGGUGAUGAACAUUUUCUUGGCAAUGUACACAAGCGUGUGUAGUUCAUCGUUCCAGAAGCGUCCGUCUCUUGUAAGAAAGAAACCUCUUUGAAGGAUCGUAAAGAAUCUUUACUAUCGGCGAGAUUACUCCUGUUAUAAUAACCACUAAGAUUAUCAUAACAGUGUAGAUUUCCCCCUCAGUAACGGAUAAAUUUAUAUGAGUUUUUUCACAACAAAAGGAAAAAAGAGAAAUCAUGGUCUUUUCUUGAAUAUCCUUUAUGAGAAAUCUGUUUUAAAAGAAUCAUUUCUCAUAAACGCAAAGUUGCUUAAAAAAAUCACCAAUGCAUUUUAUCAAUUUUCAACUGUCAAGAAAAGGUAUUUGCAUCGCAUUGUCAAGAAUCAUCUGCACUGUGCAAUUAAUUCAUGUAAUUCUAGAAGUUGUCAUGUCCUCCUAUAGACUUAAUUCACCAGCUUUGUAAACUUUAUUGGAAAAUAUGACAAUAAUCACACUUAACUUAGACAGUUGAUCAUUUAAAUGAAUGUUAUCACUCUUUUAUAAUACUUGUACGCGAUUUCAAUCCCUUGUUCGUCCAUCAAUAAAUGGACCAUUAGUUGCAAGUCAUCUCGAGGCUUUCAAACGCAUCCAAGCAAUUGAUAUCCCUUCAAGAAAGAUCAGGUAAACAACACAUCCGACCCUUCUAUUCCCUUCUUAAAUAAUAAGCAUAAAUCCCUCGGGACAUAGAACUUCAAUAAAAAAAUUCCUUCGGACCGGAUGAAAAUUAGCCCCCGUUUGGCCCACAUUUUGUGGAAAUGAAAAUAGGUGGAAAAUACUUUUUUUUUUUUUUUUUAGAAGGUGUGGUUAAAAAUAAGAGGAAAAAAUGAAAUGUAAUGGAAUUGAAAUUAAUGUGGAGCAAGCGGGUAGUCCUCAAAUGCAAAGACAAAAGGUAACUUGAUUGGAACUUCUUCCAAACCGACCAUAUUUUAUAUAUUAUAAAUCCAGACCUACAUGGUGGGGCCGCGUGGUUCCAACUAAAUAAUUCUUUAAAAUUAAAAUGAACAUUAAGCACUAUUUGAUAAUUAUUAUUUGGAUAAAAUAAAGUUUUGAAUAGUAAUUUUUUGAAAAAAUAUGUAGUUAAAAAUAGAAAAAAAUUAAAUUUAUAUAUUAAAUAUUUUAUUAUGUAAAUGUGUAAGUAAAAAUAAGUGUAUAAAAAAAAGAAUUAUGAAAUAAUGACUGUCAAACAAGCGCUAAAUCAAUUCAUUAUUUAUGCUUUGAUGGAGAUUAAAAUAUGAAAUCAAAGUCAACAAUUGAUUUAUGUGAAAUAUAAUUUUUCAAUUACAUAUUUCAAAUUUUUAAAUCUAGGACCUAUUUGAGCCAUAUUAUUUCAAAAAAAUACAUUCUUAAACAGUAAUUUGACAUUAUUUUAACUACACAAUUUUCAAUAAAAUAAAAUUACACACAGAUAAAAAAAAUUUCCUUAUUUUUUAACUACACAUUUCACAUCAAUACACCAUUUAAGAACCCUAAUAAAAAUCUGAUUCAUAAUGAUCUCUCAACUUCUUUUAUACAUAAUAAUAAUAAUAAUAAUAAUAAUAAUAAUAAUAAUAAUAAUAUAUUGCAAGUUGACCUUGACCGACGUGGGCAACAAGCAAUCCACAGCUGUAUAUCUUUGACUAUUGUAAUCUUUAAUAAUGAAUAUGCCGUAGCCAAGGACGACAAAUACACGUCUGGCCUUAAAUUUUUCUUUUUUUUUUUUCCUUUUUUUCUUUUGCUUUUUUUUUUUCCCCUAGUUAUUUCUUAACAAAUAUAAGAAAACAGAAUCGCUAGUUUGAUGCAUUGAACGAAAGAAUUGAGUACCAUGUUGUGAACUGUAAAGAAUUCAUGAUUUACAUACCUCCAAAAACCAACUUGAACUAUUGUCUUUUGCCACUUAAGGUGGCAGAUACAAAGCAAAACAAACAGCUAUAAAUAAACAAAUGAAUCUGAUGGUUUUUUUUUUUUUUUUUUUUUGGCGUAACCAAACAAUUCAGCAGAGCAACGACUCCAAGAACACGUCAUCUCUAGCCUCUUCCUUAGCUCGAGGGAAUGCAGAGUUCAUUGAAUUUCCAUAUCCAGAAAAUUCAUAACCCCCAGGAUUCUGCAACAUCUCUAGUGUAUGAGGGGCUUGAACUUCGGCUGCUGACGGCUUGAAGCUGCUGCGAAUUGACAUUGGAUAAUUCGAGGGAUUAGGCAUUGACGAUGGCGUAAUUGUCAUGGCUGCAUUGUUGUUAGUGUUAUUUGGAACCGGUCUGUUUGGGGCGUUGUUUCCACUACCCCGAGCAGCUGGCACGUUGUGGUUGUGCUUUCCCUCGUAGGUUGUUAUUACCGCUCUCAGGUCUUGAGACGCUCGCUCCACGUGUUUUCUUACGUUGCACCCCUGACUCGUGCACUUGUAAUAGCUCCUAAAAUUGAUGAGAAAAAUAUUUGUCAAAUCAAAAUACAGUCACAAAAACCAAAUAAUUGUUUCUUCACAGGUACCGGAUAUGAUACUUAUUCAUCAUCCGACUCGAGCAAGAUUCAAAGGAACCAAAUGAAUCCACAAUGGCUACAUAUACACGUACAUUAAUGAUUCAAUUUUAAGAAAAAAUUGAAACUUUUUCUGAAUUGCAAAAAAAUCGGUUAUAAGUAAAUACUCAAUACCCAAGUUGGCUUACAAAGUAGAGUUUUCAUGUAUCAACUCUUACACCAAGAAUCCAUCAGAAUCCUAAUAACAAAAGACAAUAACAUUGCAGCAAAUCAAAAAUUUCUACCAAGAAAUAUGAGAAAAAAUUCUCAAGAACUCGUUCAAAACAUUUUCACAUGUAAAAAUUUCCUACAUAUUUGAUUCGUUUAACUGAAUAGGACUAUAAUUUAGCUAUGUUACCUUGGAUUUGGAUUCCCCUUCACCACUUUUUGGCCAUACUUUCUCCAUCUGUACCCAUCAUCAAGUAUAUCUAUAUCGCUUAUAGUUUGAACUACAACUCUUGGUUCUCUAACAGUGUUACUCCCAGUCCCUGCUGCUGAAAUCCCUUCACCUUCGUUUUCCAUUUUCCUGAAAAAUUAGUAAUCAUAUUAGACAACAAAAAAUCAAUUUCAUUUAUAAUUUAUAUUCAAUUAUCAAGAUGAUUAUGUACCAUCUUUUGGCCGCAGGUUCAUCUUCAUCAAACUCAUGAUAUCCACCAGAUUUACUCUUGUGAUCAGAACUCUGGUCGAAAUCUUCAUCCCCUACGGAAAUUGAAGAAUUCUCCGGUGUUGCAACCGAAUCCAUUUGUCCAGUUCCAUUUGAAUUAUAUUGCUUUUCUGGGAUUUCAUUGAUUUGAUUGUAAGAUUGGAUGGCUACAGAGGAAGCCAAUGUUGCUGUUGAGGACGACGACGACGAUCUUCGAGUGGACUGAGGUUUAGGAUGAUUGUGACUUCCUUUAUACACGAUUUCUGUAAUCUGUCCAUCUAUAGAUUUCUCCACCUUUUUCUUUGUGGGACAAUUAAGAUGUGUACAUUUGUAAUAACUUCUCGGAUUUUCGCUUCCCUUCACUUGUUUCUGACCAUAUUUCCUCCAAUUAUACCCAUCAUCUGACUUUUUAUUCGCCUGUGAAGAUUGAUUGUGCUGAUUAUUAUCUGAUUGAAAUCCAUUAGAAAUCUCAGGGGAAAACCUCUGCAUAGAGUUUAUCUCAGAUUUUAAAGCUGUUCCUUCUUGCUUAGCAGGUUCUUGAUAACCCCAUGCUUCAUGUCCCUGAAAAUUUUCAAGAAUUUCACAAAUUUGCAUAUGAAAAUUUAAAUUUGAAUAGCAAUUCAGAGAAUUUGAAUCCGGUCAAUGACAAUAAAACCUACAGUAGAAAUUGGGUUUGUUUGGGUUUGGAAAGAAAAAUCUUCUUCCUGCUUGACAUCUUGCUGCUGCUGGGUAUUAGUAGAAUUGCUUUUCCAAUUAAAAGCCUGAAAUGGGAAAGUACCUGUUGUUGGAGAUGGUAAAAUCUGCAUAUUUCAUCCCAAAAAAUUCAAACUUUAGCUUCAAAUGAUGCAAGAAAAGUGUUAAAAAAAGGAAUCCAGAAAAAAGAAAAAAAAAAAAGGCUUACUUUUGAAGCAGAUAAGAGAACAGGAGAGUCCAAAAGCUCAGCAGGGCUUAAACCAGGUGGAAUUGAGAAAUAGGAAGAGGGCGAAACUGGAGGUGGCGAUAAGGGAAGUGAAGGUGGUGGAAGAGACUUGAACUUGGGUACCCCAGAACCCGUCCUCUCCGCUAUCCGUUCACCAAGACCUCUUCUCACGGCGGCGCUACCAUUGGCUCCGGCGCUACCGGGAUAGUUAUCGGAAGAAAGCAGGUCUGUGAAAGAAGUCGUCAUGAAUGAACCACUUGUUGAGAAAGAAAAAGGCGAUGAUUGUUGGGGUUGUGAAUUUGAAUUUGUAGAGGUUUCUAAACUUCCUGAAGAAGCAGCCAUUAGAGAGAGAAACAAGAGAGAUAAUUGCUUUUAUAAGAAAAAUGGACUGAUUGGAUUGGGUUGGAUUGUUGAAGAAGAAGUAAAAAUGUAUACGUAAUUCGCAAGGCGCCCUUUUUGUCUUGUCCGUUAGUUAAUUGCAUAUUUUUUGUUAAGCCACGUUUUACCCACAUUAUUGUAAAAAUAGAAAUGAAAAAUAUAAUCAUUAUGAACUUCGUAAAAGAGAUAAAAAGUCAAAUAUGUUGGCUUGAUGCAAUUGAUAGUAGUUAUGUUUUUAUUUUAAUGAAGAAAUAAUGGGGUUCAAACGUAGCCUAAGAGCAGUUUGGUAUGGGUUUUCAAAAAAUUAAAAGCUGCUUUUGGGGGAGGAAAUGUAUUUUAAAUAGUAAAUUGAUGAAAAAUUGUAGUUAAAAAUUAAGAACAAAUUUUGAGUUUACGUGUAAUAUUAUUUUAUUGAAAAAAUUGUGAUUGAAAAUAAAUUUUAUAAAAGUAAAUUUUUAAAAGAAUGCGGCUAGGGGCUAGAUUUCAAUAAUUUGUUUUGAUUAGCGAGAAUAGCUAACUAAUAUUUUUUAGGCCCAUUUGUUUUUCAUUUUUAUAAGAAUGAGAAUGAAAAAUAUAGUUAAUAUAAGUCUCAUAUAAGAUAUAGAAAUUUAAAAUUUGUGACUUGAUGUCAUAGUUAACGAUCAUAUUUUUCAUUUUAAUAAAGAAAAAAUGAGAAAUAAACAGGGGUUUAAUAAGCCCUUGUAUGAGUUCAUUGUUUCCAUUAAAAUAUAUUUUUCAAGAGUCAUUUAACUCAUUUCAAUCACAUGUUUUUCAUUAAAAUAAUAUUACAAGUAAAUUCAAAAUAAUUUUUUAUUUUUUAACAACAUAUUUUUCGUCAAUAUACAAUUCAAAAAUGUAUUUUUGGCAAGAAUGAAGCUCAAACAAGGGCUAAAAUUUUUAUAUAAAGAUUCUAUUUGGUACAAAUUAAAAUUAAAAUUUUAAUUUAAGUCAAAAUUAAUAACUUAUUUUAACCAUAUAUUUAUAGAAUUCAUAAUUAUUCAAUUACACAUUUCAAUAAUAUACUAAAAUUUUGAUUUUAAUUUUCAUCAAACAAAUGCUUUAUAAAAAAAAGCAUAAAUCAUUCCAAAAUGAAAAAGUGAAAAGUAUAAACAAGAGAAUGGUGGAUAGAUAUUCGGGCGGUCAAAUAUGGUGGGUUUGACUUAGACAGGCGGCUCAAAUAAAAUAAUCAACAUCUACGCGUUUAUCUCACUUUCAUUUCCCCACCUCCACCUCCACACCACACCUGCACCUAGGGGUGGCAGUGGGCCGAGUCGAGCCGGCUCGGCUCGUUAACCCACGAGCUCGGCUCGAGCUCGUGGCUCAUUUUUCACAAGUCGAGCUCAUGCUUGGCUCGUUGCUUGUGGGCGAGCUCGGCUCGCGAGCUCGUGAAAUUUUUUUUUUCUUUUUUUUUGCAAAUUUUUCAAUUUUUAUUGAUAAAAUUUCAAUUUUUUCCAUUUUUUGGACGGGCCGGCUCGUGGGCUCGGCUUGUGAGCUCGGCCCACGAGCCGCUCGUCAAGCUCGACGAGCUGAGCGGGCUCGGCUCGUUGGAAUCUACCCCCGCUCGGCUCAAGCUCGGGCUCGUCAUUUGACGAGCCCAAACAGCCCAUGAGCCGAGCUUUGACGAGCCGAGCCGCGAGCCGACUCAACCCAUUUGACAUCCCUACCUACACCACAACUCUCUGGAGGAAAUAUAUUAUUUACGAAAGUACUACAUGUAUAUAAUGAUGUUCAUAAUUACACAUAAAAUUGGAUCCAAUUUUUAAUUGAAAUAUCAUAAUUGCACAUCAACAAUCGGAUGAUUAUCACAUCACAUUAUAGACACUAUUAUAUGCAAUAAUUAUGUAUAAGUAGAAUUUUCCUAUUAUUAAAUCCCAAUCUUCGUUCUCUGUUUCAAUAUAAAGUUAUUAAGGGCUGUUUGGUUUAUAUUAAAAUUUGAUUUUAAUCUAAAUCAAAGUUAAACAAUCAAUAUUAAUCAAAUUUUUAAUGGGUCUUACAACUUUUUAAUCACACAUUUAAAUUUUUUUUUAUCACAAUCUAAUAAAAAAAAAUCUGUUUUUAAUAUCCACCAAACACUCUCUAAAGCUUUUAUUGUAUCGUAAUUGUUUGUGCCCCAUUAUUUGUGUGUAAUGUAUUAUGGAAUAAUAAUUGAUGUUGAAAUGUGUGGUUAAAAAAGAAAAAAAAUUUCGAUUUACGUGUAAUAUUAUUUUAUGAAGAUUGUGUGAUUGAAAAUAGGAAAAGGAAAAAUUAAAUGUAAUGUAAUUAAAUGAAAAGUAAUGGGGGCUAAUUAGUUGUGUUUAUUUGUUGAUCCGUGAAUGUUUUUUAUUAAAUAAAAGUUGCUGAUUUUGAAUGUGAGUAUUUAUUCUUAAUUUCAUUCCAAUUUUUCUUACAAUCGAGUCAUUUGGAACGAUUCCUAUCAUUAAAUUGUCAUUCAUAAUCAUACACGUGAUACAAAUUUUGCAACCAAAAAAGAAUGCCACCGUAGUCACACUCAACACGAACACAAAUGCUCAAUGAGCAACAUGAUGUCCUACAUUGGGUUCCUCGUUGAAUUUGGAAGGCCAUCAUAAACAGAGUUGUCCAAUUUUAAAAAUUCAUCAACUUCAACUUCUUUAUCGAAAAAUGGUUCGAGGUCACACUCAACAACCAAUUUAGCCACGUGUCGAUCACUAGCACUGAUUUGCUUUCUUUAUCAAAACUAAUAUUCAUCCGCUGGUUGAGAUUAGAAGGCAUGAAAGAGCUGUUGUCGUCGCCAGUUUAACAAUUGUUCUAACACCUUCACUUAUAGAUGUAGUUGUGCUAAAUUAUCAGAUUGUGAGAUUUUCACCAUAUAGAUUUCAAGAACAACGUAUCUUCUUGAAUCUUGAUAUCAUGAUUAGGAAUAUUAUUGCACUCUGUCCCUCAUUCUUUCCUUCUAAACUAAUGAGAAGAGCUCUUGGGUUCACAUAGACUCAUUAAUUCGAUUAAAUAUUUAUGACUAUGGAUUAUUCAUUGAUUUAGACGAAUGAGGUCUACUUUUAUAUAAUAUUAAAAAACGAAACCUUAUUUGUUUGCUCCCAGCUCUUCUACGCAUUAUACUCUACAAAUCAUAUAUAUUUGAUUUAUACAUUAAAAGUGAAAUUUUUUGCAUAUUAUUCAUUUUAUAUUUUCUCAACAUGCAUUUGCAUAAAAAGUACAGGAUAUAAACUUUGUAUCGAAACACAUUAGACAUUAAUUCAAAAGUAAAUUUCUAUUAUCAGCCCUAAUCUCCCGUCUCUAAUGGAAAAAUUUUAUCCUACCCACCGAGGGUAGGAGAUCAAUUUCAUUUCUAUUAUAUGGUGUUAAAAUAAUAAAACGGAUAAUAUUUAAUAGAAUAAAAAUGAAAUAUAAUGUAAAAUUUAUCAAUUGUCUUCUCUACCAGCUUGCUAUUAGUUUUACUUUAAAAAAAUAGUAAUGUAAUUCAUCUAGAAUCUAGAUAAUUAUCAGUUUAAUCGAGAGUGAGUCGUCGACACAUUGUCACAUAGAUCGAUAAUUAUCCAAACUUUAUAUGAAUAAUGGACAACUCCGACCCUAAUUAAGCCCAUGUUUGUCUAUCAUUAUUUGUCCAUUAAAAUGAAAAAUAUGACCGUUAUUCAUCACAUUAAGACAUUUUAUUUGACAUUUUAUUUCUUUUGUGAAGCCCUAACAAUUAUAUUUUUCAUUCUCAUUCUUUCAUUAAUGUGGCUCAAACGGAGCUUAUGUAAAAUUUAGAUGUGGAAUCCUAAAAAAAAAAAUUAAAAAAAAUGAAAUGAAGGAAAAACAUAACCCUUAGUGCAAUAAUUUAAAAUUUAAGUAAAAAAAGUGAGGUUGGUCCUAAGCCGCUGUUUGGCCCCUAUUACGUGGAAAAAUUAAUGGAUAAAAUAGUAUUUUUUUGAAAAAAUGAGUGGUUGAAAAAGUAGGAAAAAUUUUCGAUUUACGGGUAAUAUUAUUUUAUGAAAGAUUAUAUGGUUGUAAAUAGAAGAGAGAAAAAUGAAAUAAAAUGGAAUGAAAAUUAAUGGGGCAAGGGGGCUAAAUCACAUUGGUUUAAUGGAGUUUGAAAGAGUCUUAAGUAUAUUAAUUAAAUGGGGCAAUGGUUGAUUAAUCACAAACCUGCCUCAAUUAAGUCCGGCAAACUUGGUGCUUGAUUUUACAGAUGUAGGUGCGUCAGUCAAUCGUCAUCAAUACAACAAUUUUGACUAGUCAACAACUGAACUUCUAGAAGCAAUGUCAACAUUUCGGAUAAUAAAACAAUACAUUUCACAUCCUUGUCAAAGUUAUCUUCAAAUAUACAAUAAACAAUAAAAAUGACAAACUUUAAAGCAUGUUGGUUGGUCACGUGUGAAUUGGAUCGUUUAUGAUUAAAUUAUAAAUGGUAGUCAAACAUGAACUUAGCUCGUGCAACGUUGUCCAUUAUUAAGUCCCGAACUCGUUAAUUUGUGAACUUAUUAGAUGAUGACGUACGUUUCCAUUUUCAACCAUCAUGUCUUGGUAAUUGUAUUUGCCAUCCAUUGGGGUCUGUCUCCACCUACGAGGACAAACAGAAUUAUCAUAUGGCUGAUAUGCCCUAAAUGAGUUCGUUAAAUGGGGUUCGAUUAGACGUAUGAAUCAUAUGACUUGAGCCUAUGUUCUCAAGCCGUUAUAUCUUACGUGUUUGUUAUCUUAUCCUCCUCAAUUUAAGUCUUUCAUAAAGUAGAGGUCUUAAAUUUGAACUGAGAGGGACGCGACGAAAAGUCGUGAGAGAUAAAUAGGUAAAGACUCUUCCUAUAAUGGCUCGAAAACACGAAAGGAAAAGCAUGUACCUGAAAAGCUUUGUUUCUCCAAUGAAAUACGCAGCCACGGUGUUCCAUCACACUAUGUACAGACUGAGGGAUUGAUGCUUUAAAGGAUGUGUGGAGUUUCACUUUCAUGAGCCCUCUAAACGCAAAAAGAGCAGCUACAACGCCGUUUGGAGUCAAUCCAGUAACGUGCAAGAUAGUCAUAUUCUGCAGACGGCUUAUGCUAGCCAGUGCUACAAGUCCAGCAUCGGUAACUGGACAAUACGAUAAGUUUAUCUGCAAAUGCACGUUUAUUAGUUCAUCAAAGCCAGGUGACAAGUGUAGUUUUUCGCGUGAAUGUAGAGAUAAUAGGAUACCUGUUUGAGGUAUUGAGAAUAUCGAGCAAGAGAAAUCAUUCCAGUAUCAUCAAUGUUACAGCAUUUCUUAAUGUCCAAGAUGCUCAGCUUUUUACAAUUCGUGGCAACGGCGGAUAAUCCAACAGAAGAGACGCAAGGACAACCUCGAAUUUCUAGAACUUUCAAUUGUAAGCAUUGAGAUAAGGAUAAUAAAGAAGCAUCAGUAACUUUGUCACAGUGAGCCAUGUUAAUCGACUCCAGGGCAGGGCAACCAUUAGCAACUGCUGCAAUGCCAUCAUCAGUUAUUGAUAUGCACCUGUUCGAGGGGAAAAAAUGGAAACUGUAAGCAGAUUUUACUUGAAAAGCCACGCUUGGAAACUUGAGCAAAUUAUUUUGACUACAAAACUCUCGAAAACCAGCAAUUGGUGCUUUGGAUGUUUGUUCUGUAAAUAACCUUUUUAUAACUCGGAGGAUUCGUAAUUCUAUGACUUAGCCAUUACACCAAAAUGAGAGACCGAAAUCCCCUAAAACCUUGUAGAAUUUUUCUAAGAUUUAUGCUCCUUUUGGAGCUCGGUUCACAGGAAAACAGAUGCGACUUGAAAAAAUGUGAAAGCUGUUAUGAACUUGUUCACGUGCCUGUACAAGUCGAGCUCUAUAAGCUUUUGACAAGACAUUGCAACAUGUGAUAGUCCACAAUCUGUGAUGUUUGGACACACUCCCAUUUUUAAACUCAAAAGCUUGGUACAUCUCGAGAUUGACUCUAAACCUGCACCAUAAAGUAGCAUGUUUCAUUUUAAGUAGAUCUAAAACUUGAACUGGAUAUAUUGAAGGUUAAACCUUCAUCAUCAAUUUCGUUGUCAGUGAUAUCCAGUUCUUUCAAAGAUUGACAGCGCUGUCCAAUCAACACGAUAGCUUCUUGAGCAACCAUGCAACAAGCCUCCAUUCUGAGGGAAGUGAGUGAAGAACACGAAUUUGUUAUGCUAUCUAUAGAGGCGCAAGUUAUCUUGUGACAACACGUAAUAUCCAGUUUCUGCAACUGAAGAAGCCUCUGAGCGAUAUAGGAAACACCCUCGUCUGUCACUCCAGGGCAUUUACAUAAACUCAACUCCUUCAAAGAUACACACCAAUCCCCAAUUGCUUUUAUUGUAGAGAAUGUGACCAGGCAACCGUCUAACUUGAUAGAUUUCAAUCCCGAUAACUUGUACCAGCAUUUUGCAAAAUCAUCAGUGACCUGAACCACCAUUUAAUGCAUAAAAUUUCGAAAUGGGAUUAAGUUACAAAAUCAGAUAAUAUAUGUUAGGAAAAUUCCACUUACGGCAGAGCCAUAUGCCAAACUAAGGUGGCUUAAGCGUUCAGCGCCAUUGAUUAAAGAAAACAAUCCGACAUUGCUCAUAUUGUGACAUUUGGAUAUAUUGAGCACCUGUAAAACACAGAAGGAUAACACCAUAAAACAGCACAUGAUUAAUUAAGUGGUUGUUUGUUGUCGAUUAAAAGUCAAUUACAAUUAAUUUUUUGACCGUUUUUCACCAUACUAGCCGUCAUUUUUGAAUUAUUCUCUCACAUAUAGGAUCUACUUUAUCUCUAACGGUCAAAAAAUCAAUUAUCAAAAUCCCUACCAAACAAGCUCUAAAUCAAACAAUUCAAAGCUGCAAUUGCUAGUCUGCUGAUGGUUACCUUUAUUAAACCAUCGGAAAAUAUCAAUACCUCGAGUGACUUGCAACUUUCUUUCAGAAUCCCAAGGCCCACAUCAUCGAUACCAGGACAUUCGACAAGAAUUAACUCUUUGAGAUAUUGUAGUUGCAGAAUAGGCACUAGACACUUCUCCGUUAUCUGCAGCCCAUAGGGACAGGGGACGGAAAAACUUUCAGUUAAAUGGAAGUACACAAAUUAAGAAACAAAAAGAGAAAUAUAUCCAAAUUAUAAGGUAUUAGUUGAGCACAUAAGCGUUGGACCAAAUCUUUCUGCAAGAAAUAUCAGCUUCCAUAGACCUCUCCUCUGUUAUGUUGAUUUUAUCCAAUUACUUGACUUGUCACCAUUCAAUUAUUUCUUUAUUUAUUUUUUUUCCCGUCAAGGUUAAUAGUCUUUGUUCAAUCAUCAAAAUGAAGAAGUGACAGAAAAAGAAGUCUUCAGUGCACCAGCAACAGAUAGAGCUUAUCCUGCCAUAGCGUAAGGGUCGAAAAAAAUGACUAGUGUACCAAGACAGCAGAACCUACAUGAAAUUUGUUACAUGAAAUUUAUCUAACAAAAUCAACUGAAAAACCUAAACACUGGAAAGAAAAAUCAGUUUCUUUUUAUCAGAAACAAUCAUUAGAACAAAUGGUGAAGAAAUCAUUGACAUAAGUGCAAAAGAGAGAGACAUUAACUAAGAAUUUACCAGCAAAUAAGAGAGGUCCAAACUCUGAAUAUCUUUACACUUUGUGGCAAUUAAACCUACACCCAAAUCAGUAAGUCUCACACACCAUUUCAAGCAAAUAAGCUUCAGCUUUUUGCAGCCCACAGCAAUGCACCCAAUCCCAAUAUCUGAUACCAAUUUGCACCUUGCCAUCCACAACUUUUCCAAGUUCUUAGCUUCUGCAAUAGCUGCCGCCCCAGCAUCCGUCAACUCCGUUGCAUUGGACAAAUCCAAUUCAAUUAAACCCCAACACUUGCUUGCUAAACUUGACAAUCCCAUAUGAGUAAAAAAUCUAGAUCUUGACAGAUUAAUGGACUUCAAAGUAGACCAAUAUGCAUUAGAUAUAGACCACAGUACUCUGUCUUCUACACGUGGACAGUAAGUAAGAUCAACAUGAUGAAUCAGGGGGUAUCUGGUGAGAAUUCUUGAUAUGAGCUCAAUGUAAAGAGGCUUCAAAGUCUUCCUCUGAUGGGAUUCAAUAGAGUGGAAUGAUUUGCAGACUAAAGAGAAAGAUUUCUUCGUUUCUGAGUCUUCAUCGAGGCAGUCUAAGAUUGUCGAUUUGAUCUCUUCUGAGAGGGAUGCAAAGGGAUUAACGAGUUUCAUAGCUUGCAUGGUUUUGUGGGCUUUUUUCAUUAAAACGCUGAGAUUACAGUGGAAUUUUGUGAGUGACAAGAAAUUAGAAAAGAAAUUGCAAAAGCAAUAAUCUUUGACUAAAGUAUAUAUUAGAUGGAAAAGGAAAACUAUUUGUGGAAAGUAGAAAGAGAAAAAUGUGAUGCCAUUGACCGAUAGAUUCUGAGAUCCACUUUCCAACUGUUUAAACAGAAACCAGUUCCUUGGCCGGAGUUGUUUACUUGAUCUGUUUGGGGAAAAUAAGGAAGUGGCACAAUUAAAUUACAAAACUAACUUUCAAAAUGUUUGAUACGCAAAUGUAAAUGGAAGAAAUAAGAAAGACAAGACUCAUUCAUGAAAGGGACAAUUUCGAAAUUGGUGGAGCAUCCAUCACUCUCUUAAAUGGCAAAUAUAAUUAUAUAUACGGUGAUGAUAUGAUAAGUGAGGAGGCGGGUCACAUUCGGGGAAGGGAAUAAAGGAGGGAGUACAUACUCCAGGGGACAUCCAGGUACGGCAUAUAAUAUUGCCAUUGGUAGUAAUUGUCUACUUUUUCCGAGAGAAAGUUCGACAGAACGGCAUAUAUAUAUAUAUAUAUAUAAAUAACAUGUGGUAAGAUUAUUCAUUCAAAUUAAAAUACUUUAGAAUUGAGUCAUUGAAAAUGUGUGUCUGCACUGACUUUGUUUCUCUCUUACCAUCUUGAACACUGAUGCAGAGGUGUCAUAAUUUAAGUGAAAAGAUCAUACCACGUAUGUAAUGUCCCAAAUUUUCAUAAACAUUGGAGCGUUAUAAAAAGCUCAAUUUUUCCUUUAAAUAAAUGCGAAGUGUCACAAAUAAAAGAAAUUAUUUAUUUCCAACCAAAACAUCAAUUUAAAACACGAGAUCUGAGUUUCAAAAAAUCUAAACAUAAUCAAAUGACUAGUUAAACAAGUGUGUCCUUUCAACAAUUAGAGCUAACAAAUAAAAUUAGGGACAUAAUAGCAAACUAAUGGUUUAUUUCCUUUUUCAUUAGAUUUCCUUGGCCGUCUGCUUCACCAAUUCGUCACAGUUCCAAUUGACCUGAACUAACCUAUAAAAAUUUGUAAGAGUAAGUAUUCGAAAAUAUUCAAUAAGACAUGUGCAGUUUUCAUAUACAAAUAUAUAACAAUAAAAAUUAUACAUUUCAUACGACUCUAAUCUUAUGGAAUAUAUUGGUGACUAAACAAUACACCCAUCUUAGGUCAUUUUGUAAUUCCGUAGGUUUUCAUAUCUUUUUUUUUUUUUUAAAAGAACGUCGACUGACAAUUCAUGCAUAUUUAAUUGAACAUAAAAGCAUAAGGAAACGAAAAGCUUCUGCACAUACAAGUAUCUUGCCUCAUUAUUGAAAUAUACAUAAAAAAUUGAAUGUACGUUCUGGUAUCUUUUUCUACGCCUCUCUACUACUGCAUACAACUGGUGGGUAUUAUUAUGAUUUUUACAAUUGUUUCUAUAGAUGAAUUGGCAUGAAAGGGACUGUUUUGGUUACUGAUAAAAAAUGGCUUGUUGGUAAUAAUGUGUGCCUACUCACUUUUCAAGAAUAACCUCCCUUUCUAUAGUAUGUGUUUCAACCAUGUGUAGGUACAUAUAUUUUGGGGUGAAAAAUCCUUGGACGCAAUUGGUGUAUUUAUAGGGUCCAUACAGUAAAAAAUUUAAUUUCACUAUAAUUGAAAUAAAGGUGUCGUGUACCAUAGGUGUAUCAUUUAUGUUUAUCCUAAUCAACUAUCAAAACCAAUCUAAAUUAUCAACGUGUUUACCAACUAUAUCAGCAAUUAACUAACUAAAUUCUAGGAAUUGAACUCCUUAUAAGCGCAUUAUACAUGUAACUCUUGUUCCCUAACCUGUUGGAGUACAUCUCGCGAUUUACCUCUCUCACAAAUCUUUAAGGGCGGGGCAUUGGAGCCCUCAAAGUUGAAGUUCAACCUUUUUUUUUUUUUUUUUACUAACUAAAUCCUAGAUUUACCUUUAUCAACCUAGAAGAAAUCAAUUUAUCUCUACCUAAAAACACUCACACAUGGCCGGCAUCCCUGUCCAAAUUAAGUACUCUAAACAAACAAUAUUCGAAAAUAAACAAUUACAAAUACAAUUACAUUGUAACUAAAUUUCACUUCUUUAUCUAAAAUUAAAUUUGUUGUUUUUCCAUCUUUAUAACUUCAUUCAUCGGCAGGUUCAGAAAUUGUAGAAGAUGGAUCUUGAAAAACAAAAGAAAUAUUAUACUCAAUAUCAUUAUAAAUUCAUAAUAACGAUGAUUAAAAUGUAAAUUAUGUAAUAAAUAAAAUUACCUCCUCAUCAACAUCCUCAUCAUUCAUCUUGGAGCAACUUCCAAAAUAUGCAGAUGGUACAGAAUUCGCUAUUAAUAAAAUAAAAUAAUUAGUAAUAAGAAAAUUUAUAAAAGAAACAAUAUAAAAAGCAAAUAUUUCUAUACAUCGUACCGUGAAUAUUGGUCCAUAUCCAAUCUUGAGCACACAUUAAAGCUUCCAAAGUUUUGGGGUGAAGUCUAUUUCUGUGUAGACUAAAAAAUCUACCACUAGUACUGAAAGCAAAUUCGAAUGCCACAGUUGAUAUCGGGAUGGCCAAAAUAUUUUUUGCAAUUCGAGAUAAAGUAAAAUAUUUGAUUGAAUUCACUUUUCACCAUAUCAAUAUAUCAAAAUCAUCCGACCGAGGCAAUAUAGGCUCAUCCAAAAAAGUAUCAAGCUUGGUUUUCACACUACUAGGAGCUUCAACAUUAGAAACAAAUUUAUAAAAUUUCGCCAUGCGAUCUGAUUUAUUAUUAGCACUAGCCGUCUCGAUUUGACAAGAAGAAGUAGAAGACUGAGCUAAAUACUCACUUGAAUCAUUCUUUUUCUGAUAAUCGUGCACCAACUUGUCACAAACUUGAUAUAUUUUGUCAAUCUCACUUGCAGCAUUGUGAUUAAAAAUACGAGGAUAAUAAAACUUAACUAACAUCAUCUUAUAGCUCGGAUCCAACACUGCUGCUAAAGCCAAAACUCCAUGAAUAUCGCUCCAAUACUUAUUAAACUUUUCCAUCAUACUGAUUGUCAUCUUUUGAACUUCCACAUAAUGAGAUUCAAGCCACUCAUACAACGACAGUUUGAUUUCACAAAUAUUUGUAAAGAAGAGAUUAGCAGUUGGGUACUUUGUUCCUGAAAACAAUUCAAUAACCUCAAAAAAAAAUCUUUAACUUCUCACAUAUUUCUUUUGCUAAAUCCCAAUCACCAUCACUAGGGAAACAUUUAUAUCAUGACUCCCUCUGUUUCAAACGCGAAAAAACAUCCUUAUAAAUCAAAGCAGUACUAAGCAUCAAAUACGUAGAAUUCCACCUUGUUUUACAAUCAAGUACCAAUUUUUUCUCACAAUCAAUUUUCAACUAACGUGCAAAGAGCUCAAAUUUUUCAAAUCUCUUUGGCGUGACUGUCCAAUAAGCAACACUAUCACAAAUUUUUUCAACGCUACCACUAAUAAUGUCCAACCCAUCCUUCACAAUAAGAUUUAAUAUACGUGCACAACACCUCAUAUGAAAAAAUUCACCAUUCAGUACAAGAGAAUGAGUACAAAGUUGACUUAACACAAUAUUGAUCAUUGCAUCAUUUGUGGUGCAAUUAUCUACCGUCAAAGUUAGUAACUUACGAUCAAUAUUCCAGUCCAUCAAGUUGCUUAAUAGAGUUUCUGAAAGUACAUCAGCAAUGUGUGGGCACAACAGAUAUAUAAACCUGAGUUCAUUCAAGAACAAAUUAAAUCAAUUAAAAGAAUAUUAUUUUGGUAAAUUAUGAGAACAAGUGAAUGUAAUGUUUUAAUAUACCUCAUGAUUCGACUCUGUAAUUUCCACGCAUCAUCUAUGAAAUGAGCAGUGAUAACCAUGAAUCCUCUCUUUUGAUUAGAAGAGGUCCACAUGUCGGUAGUGAUCGAAAUUCUACUCUCGAUCUUCUCAAGUGCAAUCAUAUUUUUGGCUCUCUCGUAUUCAUAGAUUUUCAAAAUGUCGCUCUUCAAAGUGUUGCGAGAAGGAACCUUAAACAAUGGUUGUAGGUCAUGCAAGAACUCUCGAAAUCCAAUGUGAUCAACCAUAGACAAAGGAUACUCAUGCAAAAUCACCAUUUUCAAAAGACUAUAUCUACACUUAUCUAGAUCGAAAGAGUAAGUACCAAUUGUGACCUUGCCACUCGUGGCAUCCUUUUUGAAAUUUAAUGUUGCUUGGUGAGUAUUAUCCUUAUAACAUAGUACACAUCUCUUCAAAUAAUCAUAUGCUUUGUAACAUUUUUUGUUUCACCUUCUAACUGCUUCUUGCAAUGAUUGCAUAUAGCCUUCCAUUUCUCACUAAUUUUCUGUCUUUUGUAGUGCUCUCACACAGUUGAAGUAAAUUUUCUCUUUCCAAAUGAUAUUUCUCCAAUGUCACGCUUCUCGUCACUUAGGUUUAUUGUCCUUUCAUCCACAUUUGGUAAUAGUUCAACUGGAUCUUCUUGCGGGACAUUGCUCUCCGGUACAUUGGUCGGGCUAUCUUCCUCACAUAUUGGUCCUAAUCCAAUACUUCCAGCACUACUUGGGCCAGACAUCUGUGCAAAUAACAAAUAGUAAUGAACAUAAUGUCAUGAUUCACAAAUAACCUUAUUUGAUGUCUUUUAACAUUUUUCUUUCAUUCUUAGGCACUACUUGGACUAAUAUUUUAACAUUUUUCUUUCAUUCUUAGGCCCAUUUGGCAAAGUUUCUUUCGGAACUAUUUGGAUAAUUUUUGGUGUUUUAUCUCACUAAAACAAACUACAAGAAUCUUUAAAAAAAUAUUUUUUGCUAGGGAAUUAGGACCAUCUUCAUCUUCCCCACCUCUACUCUCUGUCAGCACACCCGUCGCAACCCAUCACCAACACCCACGGAAUCUUUAAACCAUUAUGAAUCCCACUACCAAACCCCUAAAAGCACAGCUAUCACAGCUUCUACACUAACUGAAUCUCCAGAAUCAUCAUGCUCACAAACACAAUACAGCAAUUAACACCACCACGAGGCACCACCACUCCUGCCACAAUCGCAAUAUCCGAGAACCACCCAAAAUCCUAUCUUUUUAGUCCAUUCAGCAAAGACCAAGAAGACACCAGAUCGUAUAACCAUAACCGUGGCAAUGGUAACACAUGAUACAAACAAAUCAUAUUGACUACACCAUCUAAAGGAAUAUCCACCACCAUGUUGCUACUGUACAAGAAACACAUAAAAUGGCGAAAAAUAAUCAAUCUGAUGUAGAUAUAUGUCUUCUUAAGUGUGGAUCCAUAUAACGUAAGAAACUAGGGGGUAACCUACUCCUGAAAACCAGCAGGAUCUGGAUCCACCAACUCUGUUGAAGUGUAGUCUUCCCUGCUCACUCCAGAAAGCCCAAUAGCCUGUUCCAACACAAGCUGAAAAUUAUAAGACUUCGUAACUUGGUUUAAAAAUAACAGCAAGGCCCAAAAAAACAAAAAUACAAAAAAGAGGACUUUCUGUACCUUUUUGUCUCUAGAUGAUAUGAUAUUUUCCUCUGUUCCGAGGGCUUUGCCGACUGCUGCUUUGUGAAUGGGUCGAAGAGACAAAGACUCGAAGUCGAACGAGGAAAAUGGAAUAGGAAAAAUUAGGGCAAGUGUUUGUGGGGAACUGGGGAUUUCUUCUGCGGUUCAUUUGCUCUAUCUGACUGUCUCUGUAGCCUCGCCCCAUGACCCGAGACGGGGCAGCACGCCCCACCCCAUCAACCCAUCGGGUGGGUACCCGACGAGACGGGACGGGGCAAAUUGCAAUCACUAGUCAAAAUCCAGAAUCAAAGCAAAUAAAUCUUUAAAAUAAGAUAAAGUCAUUUUUCUCUAUCCAUCCAUCAAUCACGAUCAACUAAAAAUCUCUCCUCUCUGCAAAAUGUUCAAAUCCCGUGCAAAAGGAAAAAUUGAAUUGUCGAUAGACAGAAGUAAUUAAGAUAAUUAAAUCUCUUUUUCUAAUACCAAAGAUACACUUCGAUUAUAUGAUAAAAUAUUACUUUUUUUUCCUAAUUAUCUUAAAAAAUAUAUUAUCAAAUAAUAAAAAUAAUACUUGUUACAGUGGAUAUCAAAUAGAGAAAACAGAAUUUGUAUAUGAUUCCAUCUUUUUUUUCCAAAUCAUAAAAGAUAAAUGUGAAUAUUAUAACAUUUUUCAAAUUAAAGGUAACUAUGAUUAUAUAAAUGCAAACAAAUAAUUUAAAUAAUCACAAUUUGCAAAAUUGCAUAUAUGGGAAAUCCCUAUUCUAGUCCUAUGACGUCUAUUUUCUUCUUUUCAACUCGUACACGGGUGACUGGAAAGAUUUUCAAACUAAUGUUAAUUUAAUUAAUUAUGGAUUCAGGCAAAACCCUUUUAACUUCGAAAAUGUGGACAUAACUUAUUCAAAAUAAUUAUUUCCUGAGCCCAAUGUGCAUUAUUUAAUACAAGCUACAUAAUGAGCCCAAUAUUUGUAUACUAACUCUAAUUCUAUUGAAAAAUAAAUAUUUAACCCAAUUAAAAUUGGAUUUACACAUAUAUCGCUUUAGCCCUCAAAUAUAAAAAUAUAGCAAAUAAGUUUGUUUCCUUCAAUUUUUCGGGGCGUUACAACGUAAGAUUGUACCAUUGAAGCUUUUCUCAUCUUCCACAUGCCUUCGAGUUAAGCCACUCUCGUGAACUCAUAAGGAAAACCACCAUUCUAUGGGGUUAAAAUUUGAUUUUAAAUCGAUAAUUUUUAAUAAAAAUUGAUAAAAUGUGUAGUUGAAAUGCUGUGAAUCCUAUAAAAUAUAUGAUUGAAAUUAAUUAUUGACUUUGACUUAAAAAAAAUUAAUUUUAAUUCCCACCAACCGUGGACAAAAACUAGAAGAGAAUGACAAGAAAGAUUGGCAGGUGGGUGUGUCAAAAUAAUCAUCAAAACCUCGCAAAAUCUAUGAUUUUCAUCUAACUAAUUCCACUGCUUGAAUAUCUUGUAAUAUACAUUGAUAAGUGCAUACACAUAUCUAGGUCAUUAAAUAUGAAUAUAUGAGAGCAUUUAUAGAGAAUAAUUGUUUAAUCUUUAUAAAUAUUAUUUAUUUAAGUAAACUCGAUAUUGGAUGAACUUUUAAAGUAAAGGAAUUAAAAUUGAACAAAAAGGAUGAAUUAUUGACAUAAUUCAAAGAAUGAUGACCAACUUGGUACAAAUUGAAAGAUUGAGAUUAUAACGAACUUUAGCUGACCAGAAGAAAGAAAUCACGGACCAAACUGCACUGAAUGAAGAGUUGAGAUCACAAGGGCAUGUUUGGCCAAAGUAUAUUUCAAAAUUGUCAUGCCUUGCGAUCACAUGUUGCAUACCAUGUGAAUCGCAUGACGUAAAAAUUCGGCCACCAUUAUGUUUCCUUUUUGGGUUUUUCCAAAUUUGAAGAAGCAAUUUGACCAGCGAUUUAACCUACUUUGAACCUCUAAUUUUGGGAUUCCUCAUCUUACAAUGCAAAAAACAAUGCUAUGAAGAAAUUCAAAAUAAAUAGGACUCCCAUUAUAACUUUUCGCCUCUUUUACGUGCCUCUUGACUUGAACUACUGUCUAUAAAAAAAAGGAUAAAGUUUGAGGUACAGAACUCCCUACCAAGCACUCACAUCAUGGGGCGGCGGGCAAGUGGGGUUUUCGCCAAUUUUUUAUACAAGUGGGUCCCAUGCUGUGAGGGUCGGCUGCUAAAACAGCAAAAUCCAUAGAGAAAAAUCAGAAAACAAUGACAAGAAAGCUUGGAAGCAGCAACGUAAUCACCAAAAUCUUGUGAAAACUCGAUAUAUUCACCUGGCCAAUUUCCAUAUAUAUAUAUAUAUAUAUAGAUAUUAAGCGGAGGAUCCCAAAUGCAAGCGAUACUUGUACCGGAGAAAUUGUUACCUAUGUAUAUACAAGGAUUCUUGUCACCACAUCCAUCAUCGCAUAAAGCUUUAGCCUAGAUUCCAUGAACAAGACCUACAUUUCAACAAGAAGAUCAUAAGGAUUUAAAAUCUCUCUGUCUGCAAUCAACAAGAAAAUCAAAUUUAUGAUUAAUAGGAAAAAAUAUAUACAACAUGCAAAAAGGUGAAUUUCUUUUUCACAAAAUGUCAUCAUCAAUUUAUUUUCACUUUAUAUAGUUAUCUGGAUGUUACAUACAAGAACAGCUAGAAACUGCCAACCCUGGUGGUUCACAUGCCUAACCUAGAAAAUCCUCAAGUCAUUGAAUUACCACUACAAAUGCAAAACCAGCAGAACCGACCUCGUCCCAGGGUGGCCCGGGUUCAAAAACAAAAUUCGACACAAAAAUACGAGGAUGGAUAAAGACAGUAUGGGAAAAAAGAACAGCGGAAUAACUUUUCAAGUUCCCACCAUCAUCCAAUGGAACAAGAGUUAUAAUCGGUCCUCUUUAUCUUUUCAUGAAAUCAAAUGUCGAAAUCAAUUCGAGCAUCUAUUGGAUCCAUGUAAUAUAGUGUAUUAUAAGGCCCAGUUUCCAUGUAAAAGUGCAUACUAAGACCAAGCAGUGCUUCACAGAAUUUAGGAGAAUGCACCGGUGGAAGAUGUCCUCCCUCAAUUUUAAAAACCCAAGCGCAAGUGCCAAUCACAGAAUGCCCUUGUUUAUCAAUAGAUUCCACAAGCAGAGGUUACACUCAAAAUGAAUGUUCCCAGCUCUCAUAGCAAAGUAAGCAAUCAUCUUUCUGUAGGAUAGAAAUAAUCUUGUCCCCCCAAAUCUAACCACGCCCCCAACUCCCAAGCCCCCUGAAAAAUAGAACAAUGGCACACUGUCUCAAGAGUUGAUGCCAAUUUGUGAGCAUUUUGAGUCCACCGCACACAUUGACCACCGUAAUAAUAUAAUAUCAAAAUAUGCAUAAAUUCUCACAAGAAAAUUUUCCAUGUGUCUUUCUUGGUGUUCUGAUGUCUUUUCUAAUUGAAACACAUCUCAGUUCAAAAACUCAGGCACAAUAUAAUGAAAUAAGCAGACUUACCAUAUCAAUGUGUUACACGAAAAGAGCUCCAGGAGUUCCUAGUGAUUCACAAGUCUCCUCAAAGCAACCAAGAACGUCAUCCCAGAUGGUAUGAUGCAACUCGUGGUCACAAAGAUGGGAGAAAGAGUUUUGUGGGGUGGGGGGGGGGGGGCACUGUUUUAUGCACUUUAAAGUUUGGAUGCUUGAAAUAGUGUCCUUUGCUUUCUUCAAAUUGAGUCCGCAGUCAAUAUAUAUGAAGCACCUGAGAUAACACUUCUUUAAAACCCACAGCACAGUAAAUAAAUGUGACGACUUCAUUUUCUGAGAUCAAAAGGAGAUUGACACAGUGGACAGGUCGAUUUGUGAGAAGUUGAAAACCACUCGUAGAGGCAGUCAGAAUGGAGUUUAUGCUUGCAGGUCUUACAAGCAAGGCAUGGCAAGCUAUAAUUUUCAGAGUGUAUGAGACUAUAACAGAUAGGACACUCCUCAAAAUUGCUCUUCCAUAUCUGUAUUGCUUCAGCUAAGGCUCCAUUCUGUACCAUUCACACACAUCAUCAACCUCCAGAUUUCAAAACGCAGAAUGCUCACAAAGUAUAAAAACAUGUAAACUAUGCUGAAGACUUCUUGGCAUAUAGGAGGACCAUGAAGUUCAUAACUAAUCAAUGUUUGCAGUACGGCCAAAAUUUUCUUAUGUAUGAAUAACAAAAAACGAAUUCAGACAUGUUCAACACAAAUAUUCCACCACCAAAAAGAUCUUGCACUUGCAAUUUUCCCGGGGAUAAAUAUAAUGAUACACACGUGGUCCUCUCUAAAAAUAUUAAGCUUUUGGAUGAAGGGGUACAAAAUGUUAUUAGAACCACACCCAAAAAAAAAAAAAAAAAAAAAAAAAAAAAAAAAAAAAAGAAAAAGAAAAAAGGGAUCAAAGAAAUAAUUCAACCCCUUUAAAGCUCAAACAAGCGAUCAGAUUUCAGGAUCAGUGUUAUCCAAUGAGCAACCAUACCAUCUUGUGUUGGCACGUCAAGGGUAAAUCCCACAUCGGUUAGAUAUGAAACACUACCCAACAUAUAAGAGAUUAAACUACUUGUAAUCAAGUAGAUUUUUUAAGAUGAACACCCAAGUCAUAUACGGUGUGACAUGCAAAGGUCCUGAAUCCAAUUCUGACCGCCACCUAUUUGAUGAAAUUGUAUACAUGUCAAUCUUUGAUGGAUAAAAAUUAGUCCACAUAUAUUUGACAGGGCAUGUUAAAGACUAUUUAAAUGAUAUACAAUAGCCCUUUCUAAUAAAUAAAGCUUUAGAUUAAGAAUCUGUUUUAUUUUUAUAAGGGCUAAAAUCACUUAUUUUGGCUUUUUUUGCCCCGUAUUGUAGGGUGGUUCGACAAUACAACACAAUCAUUCACUUCAAAAAAACUUCUUAUCAUUUUUCAAGCACUAACCCACUUAAUAGGGGUAUAUUUGACUUCACAUUCAUGUAGUAGAACCUCAUUGCACUUUAAUUUAAUGAGGGGUACAAUAGAAAAUUAGAUACAGAGAGUUCGGUAGUUGGGGUGGGGUGAGGGGAAUCUCAUAUGAUCAAUCUGGGAUGUAGGACUAGAACCAGAAACAUCAUGUAGAAGAUGUGGGCGAAUCUCAAAUGAUCAAUCUGGGAUGUAGGACUCGAACCAGAUACAUCAUGUGAAUUAGUUUUAUUCAUCCUUGGGUCCUGUAUUUAUAUACAAACAAGUAGGAAAAACAAGGAAAAUAAUCUCCUAAAUUAAGAGAGCUAAUAAUCCUACCCAACUAUGGAAAUAAUUAAAUAUGGUACACCAACAAUUCUAUCAAUCCCUAAUCUUCUAUAAUCAUUCGGCUUUCUACACUCCCCCUCAAAUUGGAUGGUAGAUGUUGAUCAUAUCUAACUUGCAAAUGAACUUGUCAAAGACUUGUCUAGGUAGUCCUUUGGUGAAGAUACCUAUUGUCUGCUCUUUUGUAGUGACGUAGGUCAUACAAAUCACUCCAUUUUUGACAUUUUCUUUAAUAAAGUGUAUGUCCACUUCUACAUGUUUAGUUUUAUCGUGUUGCACUAUAUUCAGUGAGAUAUUGAUCGAUGUCUUGUAAUCACAGUAUAGUUUGUUUAGAAGUUUUACACUAAUUUGUAAUUCUUCCAAAAGUUUCUUUAACCACAAUCUUUCGCAAAUUUCUUGGGCCAUUGAUCUAACUUCAAUUUUUACAUUGCAUCUUGCUACAAAAUUCUGUUUUUUCCUUCUCGAAGUUACUAAAUUGCCCCAUAAUUAGCUACAGUAACCAGUUGUUGAUCUCCGGUCUUCUACACAACCAGUCGAGUCAGCACUAGUAAUACUUCUACUCUAUUCCUCUCAUUUUUCUUGAAAAAUAGUCCCUUUCCUUAAAAACCUUUCAUGUACUUGAGGAUUUUAUAUAUUGCUUCCAUAUGUGUUUCCUUUGAUGAGUGCAUAUGAUGACUUACCAUACUGCGAAUACAAUAUAUGUCAUAAUAUGAGAUAUAUUAACUUUCCAACUUAUCUUUCUUUCUCAAUUGACUCCAAUGUUUUUUGCCAUUCUUCCAACAGCAAUUGGUGUGUUGCUUGGUUUACAUCCAAGAAUACAUAUUUCUAAUAGGAGGUAAUGAAUAUAUUUUCAUUGUGAAACACUAAUACCUUUUUUUAACCUCGCAACUUCUAUUCUCAGAAAAUAUUGCAUUUGUCCUAGGUCUUUUACCUUAAAUUCAGUUGCUAGUUGUUUCUUCAGUCUUUCCAUCUCAACAUUGCUGUCUCUAGUUAGAAUUAUAUUAUCAAUGUAUACAAUUAAGAUUGUUUUUCUUCCACUCUUUGAUAUUUGGAAGAACAUAUUCACUACUAAAAAAUAGAGUUUCAGGCACGGAUUUUUCGUUCCUAAAGCCUCAAUAUCCGUUGCUAAUAAUCUUCACCAACGGAAUAUUUGCAACCAAAAAUCCGUUGGUAAGUUGAUGGUCGCUGAUAGUUACCAACGGAUCAUGCCGUAGGUAAAGAAUAAACAUUUUACCAACGGAUUUUCCGUUAGUAAAGUGUAAAUCUUUUACCAAUGAAAUUUUCGUUGGUAAAAGUCUUAACCAAUAUCAACCGACUUUCCGUUGGUAAAUGUCUACCACUACAACUGGUAAAAAUCAAUGUUGUAAAUAAUCGUAUGGUAAAAAAGUUAUUUAUUUGUUUUUUAUUAUUAUUAUUAUUAUUAUUAUUAUUAUUAUUAUUAUUAUUUAUUUAUUUAAUAAUUAUAAUAUUUUUUAUUUUUAGCCAACUGAAUUGAAAGGCCAAAAUAUUAUUUAAUUCCUUAUUGGACCACAAAUUUAUAGAGGGCAACUACAAAGAUAUUGUUGCAAACUUCUAAUGUGGGAUAAGUGAAUUAUUUUUACCAACAGAUAAUCCGUUUCUCAUUACCAACGGAAUAUCCGUUACUAAAAGAUCAAAAUAUUAAACGGUUAUAUUAGGCACGAAAUAUUCGUUGGUAAAGAGAUAUUAUUUUUACUAACGGAUAAUCCGUUUCUAAUUACCAACGGAAUAUCCGUAGGUAAAAUACCAAAAUGUUAAACGAUUAUAUUAGGCACGGAAUAUCCAUUGGUAAAGAGAUAUCAUCUUUACCAAUGAAAAAUUCGUUGCUAAUUAUUGUAGCUAAAAGUGAAUUACUUUUACUAACGGAUAAUCCGUUUCUAAUUACCAAUAGAUGCAAUCCGUUGGUAAUAUUCGGUUCAUCACCUACGGAACAUCCGUUGGAGAAAGAUCCAAAUGUUAAACGAUUACAUUAAACAUGGAAUAUCGGUUGAUAAAGAGAUAUCAUCUUUACCAACGGAAAAUUCAUUGCUAAUUAUCGUAGCUAAAAGUGAAUUACUUUUACCAACGGAUAAUCCAUUUCUAAUCACUAACGGAUGCAAUCCGUUGGUAAUUUUUCGUAGGUGAAAAGCUAUUUUUUAGUAGUGAUUGUGAUUGAACUAUCCCUAUCUUUUCAACACCUUAGCAAAUCGAUAAAAUCAUGCUAUUGGUGACUGUUUAAGACCAUAUAGAGAUUUUUUGAGUUUACGGACUAGAUUUUCUUCAUGUAAGGAGAAGCCUAGUAACAGUGUCAUGAACGCUUCCUCUUCUAAUUCUUCAUUUAGAAAUGCAUUUUUAAUGUUGAGUUUUUGAACUAGCCAGUCUAAGUUGACUAUUAGAAAUACUGAUGCAAAUGUUUCUGUAUAAUCUAUGUCAUAAGUUUGUAUGUAUCAUUUUGCCACAAGGCAAGCUUUAUAUCUUUUUAUUAUCCCAUCAGCUUUAUAUUUCACAUUGAACACUCAUUUUCCCACGUCCCAAGGUAUUUUUUUUUUUUUUUUUUUGUAAAGCUUGCAUUUAUUCGAUCACUGCUUUUCUCCAUGUAGGAAUUUCCAAGGUUCCUAAAUGUUUCUUGGAAUUGUUUUAUUGUCAAGGUUAGCAGUAAAAGUACAAAUCUCAUAGAUAAAGCAUUAUAAGAUAUGAAUUUUGAGAUGGGGCGAAGAGUACAUGACCGAGUUUUUUUCUGAGUGCAAUGAGUAGGUUGAUAUCAGGAUAUUCAGACUUAUGAGGACCUAGAGCUAUAAUCGAUUCUAACUCUCUUGGUGCUUCUGGUAUCGGUUUUUUCCUUUGAUUUUGGCUUCCUCGAGUAAACCAAUAUCUCCUUAUUUUUUUGUUUCCCUGCAUCUCCCCCAGAAUUCACAUUUUGUUCUAUAUGUGACAUAUUGGAAAUUGAUGGUCUGAUGGAAUCUGAUUCUAUUGAGGUAUGGGUAGGAGGGGGAGAGCAAAAUCUAUAAUCCGAUCUUUACUCAAAUUCUCCCCCUGAAGAGAGUUUUUAAAAAUAAGGUGUAUUUUCAAAAAAUGUAACAUGAAGGCUUACAAAUAUCUCUUUUGUGGAUGAAUCAUAACAUUUGUAGUCUUUUUGAGUAGAGGAGUACCCAAUGAAUACACAUUUAUUUGCAUGAGUCUAGUUAAUCCAAUUGUGAGCAUGAACAUAGAAAAAUGCUAUACAACAAAAAAAAAACCUUUAGAGGUAGAUUAGAGUGUAGACAAGAGGUAAGGAAAGGUUUCUGAAAUUUUUAGAGAGGUGAUUCAAAGUCAAAUGUACGACUAGGCAUUCAAUUGAUAAGGUAGAUAACUGUUAGGAUAGCGUCUUCUAGAUAUAUUUUCGACAUUCUUGUAGUAUACAUUAAGGCACAGGCAACUUCAAAGAGAUGUUUAUUUUCCUUUCAGCUAUUCUAUUUUGUUAUGGAGUGUUGACACAUGAGCUCUAAUGGUCAAUCCCAUGUUUUUGUAGGCAAUCUCGUAAAAUAGAAUUUAAGUACUCGGUGCCAUUAUCUGUGUGGAGGAAUUGGAUAUUACUUUGGAAUUGUGUUUGAAUAAUUGAGUGAAUGUUUAUGAAUACUAAACGAACAACAUUUUUUUUUCUUUUUGCAUGUAGACCUAACAUAGCCGAGUAUGAUCAUCGAUGAAUGUAACAAACCAUUUUGUGUGAGUGUGACGAGGGUUUCGUGAAGAUCCCCAAAAAACGCUGUGAAUUAUAGUGAAUGGUUUAGAUGGCUUGUAUAUGGAUUUUGGAAAUACACUUCAUUGAUGUUUUGCUAGUUCACAUAUUUCACAUUGAAGUUUAAAGGAAGUUUUAUUCGGAAAAAUAGAUAGAAUUACAUGUUUUAGAUAUUGCAUAUUGGGGUGACCCAUUCGAUAAUGCUAUAAUAAAACUUCACUAUCCCUAGAGGUACAUACAGAAUCACAAAUUGCAACUUGACUUGGCUUACUCACACUGAUUCCUCAAAGUAGUAAAGACCCGCAUACUCUUUAACACUAUCAAUCACCUUCCUUGAUGAUAGGUCCUGAAAGAUACAAUGAGAUGGAAAAAAUUCAGCAGAGCAAUUAGAUGUUUUGUCAACUGUUUAACAGAUAAUAGGUUACAAGAUAAAUUUGUACAUGGAGUACUGAAUUUAGUGUAAUAGAUUUAGAUAUUUGGAUACUUCCUUUUACUACAACAGUUGAGAUUAACCCAUCUGCAAUCUUAAUAUUAAUAUUACCAGCACACAGCGUAUAUGUAGAGAAAAGUUGGUAGGAGUCCGUCGUGUGCUCAAACGCACCUGAAUCAAUAAUCCAUGAGAUUUUGUAUUUCGAGGAGGUAGUCAAGGCUCUUAGAUGAUUACCUUUAUGAGCUAGUGAACUUGAUGGACGGUGGGUGGAAUGGUGACUUGAAUUUUGAAGAUCGGAUAAAAUUUGAUACAGCUAUUCCAAUUGUUCAGGAUUAAAUGCACCACCUGCAGUGAAAUUAUUUUCCUUAGGAUUUUCAAUAGCAUCAAUUGAUGCUUGAUAUCCUCAAUUUCUAAAAAUGCUUAGGUUCCAAUCAUUAGGCUUCCCAUGUAAAUCCCAACACGUAUAUUUCUUAUGUAUUGGUUUACGACAGUGUUCACACCAUGGACGUCCCCUUUGUUGUUUUGGUCCGUUUAAAUAUGUUAUAUUUAUUUCCGGCUUAAUAUUUUGCCCAACAAGCCCAAUUACACUUUUAGAAUUUCCUGGCCCAUUAUGCAAUUUUUCAGCCCAUCCACUUUUUAUACGUGGAGUUGACCCAUUUGGCCCAUUUAUCCACUUUUUAUACGUGGAGUUGACCCAUUUGGCCCAUUUAUACUAGACGAUUCAGUAGUGGGUUUCUCAUUCCUUUUCUGCCCACCAAAUCCAUUUCAUUGAAAUCAUUGUUAUCUCCACAGCAGUUUCAUUGUCGUUGGCCUUUAACAUGAUUUUUCUACGAUUUUCUUCUCUUCUAAUUGCUGCAAACACUUCUCAUGUAGUUCGUAAUGGUUGCCCGCCUAGUAUUCUUUCCCUAACAUCAUCCAAAUCGCGGUUGAGGCCUGCUAGAAACUCAAAAACCCUUUCGUUCUCUACCCCUUUUAGAGCGUACACAGUCACUGAUACAUUCCCAUUCUUCCUAAGAAUGAGGUCGAGUUCUUGCCACAAGUUUGUCAUCUCAAGGAAAUAAUCUAUAACCUCUCUCUCUCCCCUUGUUUGGUUUGCCACAAUCGAGUCUUUAUCUCGAAGAUUUGUGAGGCAUUUUCUCCAUCGAAGUAUGUCUCCUUCACUGCCUUCGCGACUUCCUCCACCAUCCGUAGGAAUAGGUAAGUUUUACCUAUGGACAAAAUUGUGGAAUUAACGAGCUAGGCAGUUAUCAAUGAAUUUUCCAAUUUCCAUUUUUGAAGAGUGGUCUUUGUUGGUUUCUUGGUCUCGCCGAUGAGGUAACCAAGCUUCCCUUUGCCUUCGAUCAUUAAUUUGAUAGAUUGAUAAACUUUGAAGAAAAUAACACAGAAGACAGUGAAGCAUUGAAACAAACAUCUCCAAUCUUACAUGAUAUUUAAGGUGCACAUUAUCUCUAGCAGGCUUUUCAUCUACCUAUUUCUACAUAAAGAGAGAACCAAUGUCCAAUGCUUAAUGCUCAAGACGCUAUGGGUUGAUGGGGAUUAUAUUCAUGAAGCUUACCCUUGCAAGCAUGGAGGCUGUUUCCAUGACAUUUUAUGGAGUCAAAAAAACAUGUCAAGUGGAAUUAAACUGGAAUCAACAGCAAACAGGAAUCAUGUCACACACACCUGAGAUAAUUCAUUUGUAUUAAGUGUUGGGCUACACCAUGCUUUCGUGAAAGAUUCAACAGAAGAUGAAAUAGAACGAUUUCGUAUGUCACUAAACCAUCCUCGGACAUAGGCAGGAAGAAUAUGAAGCAUCAAACCAAAUAUUCCACCAGCAAAUGAGGCCAUUUUCUCUGUUCCAACAGGCCAAAGUGACUCUAUGCAAAACAAUACUGAUCUGGUCCUGAUGGCAUGUGUAGCAGCUGUGGCUGCUUCAGUUACUGUUGCUGGAAGUUCUACAUCUUUCCUUCUUGAGCCUGGCACCACGUACAAUUCCAAUUGAAUAUGUUGGAGAAGGCAAUCCAGUAUUACCGAAUUGGCAGAGUCUUGCACAUACUGAACCAUUCUCUCUUUCAGAAGAAGUUGAUGGCAAGGAUCCUAGAUGUGACAGAAACAAAGACCAAGCAAGAAAUAUGUUCACCUGUAAGUUCAACAGAGACAACACAGCCUAUGAGGUAAUGUUACACACAAUUUAACUCCGCAAUCAACAUCUCUCCUAUGCAAUGUAAUGUUACCUAUUCCUAGAGAAACCAAAACAUUAAGACAUUGCAAAGAAGCAAAGAGCAGAAAGUUAGUGCUCACUGUUACAUAUUACUUACCCAUUCAUUUGCCACUAAAUCUAUUUCAAAAACCUCCUCUAGAAACAUUUCAAGCACGUGAGAAAUUUCUUCCCUUGAAUGAAAAUUUCCUUUAGAAGAAAUAUCAGGAUUGUGAGGAUCCUCGUUGUUAGACAUAUCACCCUUCACCCAAACUAGCAGUGUCACAUUUAAAAGCUGAGUGCAUCACAGGUUCGGCCGAAAGAAUAACAAAAGCCACGUACUGCAGAGGAGGAAGCGGUUUGCAAGAGGAGAGUAAAGCAUACAAAGAGCUUAUGGGCCCUUUACUUAGUCCCCAAAUCUCUAUUGAUUUCACAGCUUUGUCUCUUGCAUGUGAACUAGACUCAUUAGCUCUUGAAGCUACUAACUCCCAAAAGUGAGGAUGAUCCAGGCGAGAUGAUGCAACAACAGAUGAAGCCUCAUGGCAAUACGAAUUUGCAAUGGCCUCAGCAACACCAGUAUAGAAAAAUAAACAAAGAAUACCAUCUAGAAUUCGAUUGUUGAUGACCUCCCACCUCUCAAUCUUCAAAGGGUUUGAAUUUUCAGCAUACUCUUUCUUUUGGAAUCCCACGAGGCCACAAAAUAGAGAGAAGGCAAUAAGUGCAUUUGUUGCAAUUUUUACGGGAAAAAGGGUCUAUGGUUGAAACAGCAAUCUUAAGCUUCUUUAGAGUAUCUGUCAUAUCAUCGGAACUAGAACUGUUUGACACAGCAUCAUUCACAUUUUCAGCAACUUCCUCCAUCAUAACAACAGUUGACUCAAGCCAAAAUCUUGACCGAAUUAAAACAAAAUUCCAAUCAUCUUCAUUGAAUUCCUCCCAGCAAUAAGCAACUGAAACAACCAUAACUUUGACAACAACCUCUGAACCAAUGGCAGCUUGCUUACUACAGCUGAUGCACCAGCAUGUUGUAUCUGCUUCUCAAAUAACUUGUACAGAAGUUCUUUCUCCAUAGGACUGAUAUAUCUCUUUGGUUUUAACCUUUGCAAUUGUUCUGUUGCAUUAAUAGGGAAACAGGAUAUAACCAGCCGAAAGAAAUCCUCCAUAUCUGGAAGAAGAGGUCAAAUUGUUAAAAUAGCAAAGCCUCAAUGUCGGAAAACAAGAAUGAACAGCAACAAUACCAUGGUGGCACAUUAUGAGAUUUUUGCCAUUAAUCCAAGAAAAGAUACAUGCCUAAGCUUCAAGAUAUAAAGCCAAGAAAAACUACAAUUCAUUUCCAUUUAUGACUACUGUUAUAUAAUCAUAUAUCCACUAGAACACCAAAAAAUCGAUAAUUUAAUUAUGAGUGCCCAGGACAUGAAUAAAAACUAAUUGUAGCUUGCAUUUACCUUCUCCAGUUUGCCAUGUAUUCAAUGGAGGGAAAGAUACGGUUCUCUCGAGCCAAUCUACUGUUGAAUCGUGAAAUUUGCUUUUGCUGUAAUAAUCACACUCAUCACUCACACUGGAGUCUACCAAUCUGAUGCUUAAGGGUCUUAUAAGUAUGCUCAUAACAGAAGAAAGAAUCCUCAAACAAUUCAAGUUCGUUGUAUCACCAAUGUAGAGCUUAUCUAGAAGCACAUUAAAGAGCGAUAGAGAUUUGCCCUUCUCCCAUAUAUCAUCUUGAAAAAGAGUCAACAAUAAUGAUAAAAGAGCUCUCAAAAAUGGUUCAUCAAUGCCCUGCAUCUCAUCGUAUGAAGCAGGCCAUAAGGGACAUAACCCACUACCAGCUCCGUGGACAAGAGCACCAUCAAGCAGAAUCCUGACAAUGGAAUCCAGAAGGCAGUAUUCAGAAGAAUGCUUCACAUAUUCACUGAGAGAAGGCAGAAAAGAGUGCAAAGCACUACCACCAACCAAUUUCCAUGUACAUAAAAUUUCAGCAGCAAACCAGGCUCGAGUAGAAUACAGAUUAUUUCUUGUUAGGUCUUUAAUAGGCUCCCCAGUUAAAGAUGGAGAGGUAGCAGCAGCAAUAACUUGUGCAAAUCCAAUUUUGGAAAUUAGUUUGUCAACCAAAGCAACAAACAGGGUGUUUUUGGAUGCCUACAAAUAAAUUGUAUUGGUAAAAGUUAGCGUCUAUCAGUUGUAUCCAUGUUUACAUAGAGAGAGAGAGAGAGAGAGAGAGAGAGAGAGAGAGAGAGAGAGAGAGAGAGAGAGAGAGUUUAGUGCAUGUUUGGGAGUGUUUAUACCUCUUAAGCACUCCCAAACAUGCUAUAUACAAUAAUACAAUUAGUUUGGGAAUAAAUGACUGAAGAUCCAGAAACUUAAACAACUGACAACAUCAGUGUAGCAUGAGCAUGGCCAAUAUAUAGCCCUUUCCAGAUUGAAUUUGGUGAAAUGUACAAUUAAGCAUAAACAUUCAUGUAUUCUACAAUAAACUAUCUACGACUUUUACUAAAAGUUAUGUUGUGAAGAAACUGAGACAGCAAGUUCUGGUUGAAGACUUUCCCAUGAAUUUACUAAGCUAUAGUGGCUAAUUCUGACUUGAUUAAAAGCGAUCAUGCAGCUAAACAAAAGAACGUAUAGACUAUACAUUAUAAACUCAAGGUGUAGAAUUAAGAGAGUUAAGUCUGUAGGGUAGAUCCGAAUGAUUUGGAAUUGAUUUCCACGUGUCAUAUGUAUUUAUGUAAUUAUAUUUAGCUAUAGUAGUUUCCCAUUUUUCUCUGAUUUGGUUAGACGUGUUAGACAUAUUAUUUUCCUAAAUUAGUGGCUAAAAUCAAGAAAUGCGAAUCAACCUGUGAUUUUUCUUCCUAUACUUGUAUAUAUUCAGCAUUCUCUGUAAUUAAUAAGAGAUAAGUCAUUUCACCAUCUUAUUCUAAAUGGUAUCAGAGCUACCAUUCUGAAACCCUAAAUCUGAGAUGGCCUCCGGAAAAGAAUCUUCAUCUGAUGUAACCUCUGCUGCAGAGGACAUCAUCUCUACUCCUCGUGGAAAUUCUGAACAUUCCAUCAUUCCUAUUACUGGGCAUAAACUCAAUGGACAGAACUAUCUCCAGUGGUCUCAAUCAACGAUGAUGUAUAUCAUCGGCAAAGGGAAAGAUGACUAUCUCACAGGAACUGCAAAGCCACCAUCCACAGCUGAUCCCAAAUUCAAAAGGUAGAAAUCUGAAAAUUGCAUGGUCAUGUCCUGGCUAAUCAACACAAUGGAUGUCGAGAUUGGCCAAAACUUCAUGUUCUAUUCAACUGCAAAAGAAAUCUGGGAUAGUGUGAAAGAAACUUAUUCAGACAAUGAAAACACCUCUGAACUUUUUGAAAUUAAAGGAACUCUCCAUAAUCUUCAACAAGGUAAUAACUCCGUAACUCAUUACUUUAAUCUUCUCACUUGAUAUUGGCAACAACUUGACAUGUUCGAAGAUAUCUCGUGGGAGUGUCCUCAAGACAGAAAGAAAUACCGCACUAUUGUGGAGAAAGAAAGAAUUUUUAAGUUCCUACUUGACCAAAACAAAGAUCUUGAUGAAGUAAGAGGAAGAAUUUUGGGAACUAAACCUCUGCCCUCUCUCCGUGAAUCAUUCUCAGAGGUCAAAAGAGAAGAAAGUAGGAGAAAGGUCAUGAUGGGAACUCAAGGGAUCUCUGCCCCAAUUGAAAGUUCUGCCCUUACCGCUUAUGGAGACCACAAUUAGGUAAGUGACAAUCGCCCUCACAAAGGAAGACCAUGGUGUGAUUACUGUCGUCAGCCUGGACAUCUUCGAGGAAAGUGCUGGAAACUUCACGCUAAACCCACUGAUUGGAAACCAAAUAGGUUGAAUUCUGACCGUAAAAGUCGUGGUUUCUCUGCUACAACUGAUGAAAACCCUGUACCUGAAUCCACAAUAUUCAGCAAAGAACAACUUGAUCUCCUUCAGAAAAUGUUCAACCAAACACAAAUGAGUUCUAAUGUCAUCAGAUCUGGUUCCAUAGCCCAGAAGGGUACACUCUCAAGCGCUCUUAACAGCAAAGCUGAGAAAAAUAGCCCUUGGAUAAUUGACUCAAGUGCCACCGAUCAUAUGACUGGUGAUGCCACUUUAUUCUACUCUUAUUUACCAUGUUCUGGAAAUCAUACAGUGCGCAUUGCAAAUGGUUCCUUAUCCACAAUUUUCAGAAUUGGAACCAUUAUUAUCUCUAAACAUAUUGUUCUUAGUUCUAUCCUAUUGGUUCCAAAGCUGUCUUGCAACCUAUUAUCAAUAAGCAAACUCACAAAAGAUCUUAAUUGUAUUGUUAAAUUCUCUCCUACUCAUUGCAUAUUUCAGGAACAGGACUCGGGGAGGAUGAUUGGCAAUGCUGAGGAGUGUGCGGGCCUUUAUCUCUUCAAGUUAGGCGAUUCUUCUGGAGUUCAAACUUUGACAGCUCAAUGCACUACUACACCAGCCUUAGUGAGUCAGUCCAAUAAGGAUUCUAUGUCUAUUUAUGUUUCAUCCCAUGAUAAUAAUAGUGCUAUCAUGUUGUGGCACUUCAGAUUAGGUCAUCCUAAUUUUAUGUACCUGUCGAAAUUGUUUCCUUCACUAUUUAUUAAUAAAAAUUCAAGUUUAUUCCAAUGUGAAAUCUGUCAAUUUGCUAAGCUUGCAAGUUCAUUUCCUGCACACAAAUAUCAACCUUCACAUCCAUUUUCAAUUGUACACAGUGACAUUUGGGGUCCUUCUCGAGUUAAAUAUAUUUCGGGAGCACGAUGGCUCAUCACUUUUGUUGAUGAUCAUAGUAGGGUCACUUGAGUAUUUUUGAUGAAAGAAAAAUCUGAGGCAAGUCCAAUUUUCAAGAAAUUUCACUUUAUGAUUAAAAAUCAAUUCUAAGUCAAUAUUCAAAUUCUAAGAACUGACAAUGCUAAAGAGUACUUCAACUCCAUCCUUGGCACUUUUCUUACCGAGAAGGGCAUAAUCCAUCAAAACUCAUGCAUUGAUACCCCACAGCAAAAUGGAAAAACUGAACGUAAAAAUCAUAACCUUCUAGAAGUUGCCCGUGCUCUUAUGUUCACAUCUAAUCUUCCAAAGCAUUUAUGGGGAGAUGCUAUCCUUACUGCUGCAUACUUGAUUAAUCGAAUGCCCUCUUGUGUUCUCCGGUUCUAUACUCCGAGCCAAAUUCUCACCAAAGCAUACCCAUCUACACAGCUCAUCUCUAAGUUACCACUAAAGGUCUUUGGGUGCUUAGCUUUUGUUCAUGUUCCACCACAUCUUCGCAGUAAACUCAAUCCAAAGGCUAUUAAAUGUGUAUUUCUUGGGUAUUCUCCUACUCAAAAAGGGUAUUUUUUUUUCCAGAAACGAAAAAGUUUUAUACUACUAUGGAUGUAACAUUCUUUGAAAAUCAAUCUUUCUACCCCGAAACUCAUAUUCAGGGGGAGAAUUCUAGUAUUGGAAUAGGAGAAGAAUAUCAAUUUUGGCAACUAGAACCUAUCCCAGCUACGGCAAUACAACCUGAGCUAGUUACAUUCAUAUCACCAUAUUCAACCUUGCUCAUUCCUCCUCAGUCAACGAUCAAACCAGUAGAAAUUGUCAUCAAAUCCCCAACUCUAAGUGCAGGUGGAGAAGGCAAAGAACUCCAAGUUUACUCCAGAAGGUCAAAAACUGACAAAGAGAUAGAGAAUUCAAUUCUUCCCGAGCAUGGCCAAACAUCUAAUCCAAGUUCUGACCCUGUGGAUUCAGGUAACAUCGAAAAUCCAUCUGAUCCUAUUUCCUUAUCAUAUGAUGAUCUUGAGGUUCCCAUUGCCCAAAGAAAAGGAGUCAAGUCUUGUACUCAGCACCCCAUAUCUAAUUUCGUGUCAUACAAAAAUCUUUCUCCUGUAUAACGUGCCUUUAUUUCUAAUCUGUCACUUAUAAAGAUUCCAAACAGUGUUCAAGAGGCAAUGAAAUGUCAAAAAUGGAAAGAGGCCAUAAAUGAAGAAAUACGGGUUCUCAACAAAAAUGGCACGUGGGUUCUCACAGAACUUCAAAAAGGAAAAAGACCAGUCGAUUGUAAAUGGAUCUUCAACGUAAAAUACAAUGCAAAUGGAAGCUUAAAUAGGUACAAGGCCAAGUUAGUAGCAAAAUGCUACACUCAAACAUAUGGAAUCGAUUAUCAAGAGACAUUCGCCCCUGUUGCUAAACUAAAUACAAUUCGAGUCCUCUUAUCUUUGGCCUCAAACUUAGAUUGGUCACUUCACCAACUAGACAUCAAGAAUGCCUUCCUGAAUGGGGACCUAGAAGAAGAAGUUUAUAUGGAGAUUCCACCAGGGUUUGAAAGGAAAGAAAAUUCCAGCCUAGUGUGUAAAUUGAAGAAAUCAUUGUAUGGACUGAAACAAUCACUAAGAGCAUGGUUUGAACGGUUCACAAGGGUUGUGAAGAAAUAUGGUUACUCACAGGGACAAUCUGAUCAUACUCUCUUUACCAAACAUUCGCCUGAUGGGAAACUCACUCUCCUCAUUGUAUAUGUGGACGACAUCAUUGUCACAGGAAACAAUCAUGACGAGAUGAGCCAAUUAAAGUCUAUUAUUGCAUCAGAAUUUGAGAUUAAGGAUCUAGGAAAUCUAAAAUACUUUCUCGGCAUGGAAGUGGUCCGCUCAAGCAAGGGGAUAACUAUUUCCCAAAGGAAAUACACCCUUGACCUGCUUACAGAGACAGGUAUGCUCAGAUGUAAACCAGCAGAUACUCCUAUGGACUCAACGCAUAAGAUUGGGAUGAAGGAAGGUAGUGCUCCAGUGGACAAAGGAAGAUAUCAACGAUUAGUGGGAAGACUAAUUUAUUUAUCUCACACUAGACCAGACAUCGGAUUCUCUGUGAGUGUUGUUAGCCAAUUCAUGAAUAAUCCAACUGAGGAACAUAUGGAAGCUGUAUACCAAAUACUCAGAUAUUUGAAAAUGACACCAGGCAAAGGACUAUUCUUUAAAAAGGGGAACAAUAAGAGCAUUGAAGUCUACUCGGAUGCAAAUUGAGCAGGGCCCAUAACUGAUCGCCGAUCCACUUCUGGUUACUGCACCUAUGUAUGGGAAAAUUUAGUCACUUGGCGAAGUAAGAAACAAUCUGUAGUAGCUAGGAGUAGUGCGGAAGCUGAACUUCGAGCUAUGGCCUUUAGCAUAUGCGAAGUGAUAUGGCUAAAAAGACUCCUAGGUGAACUAAAAAUCUCAUGUAAUGACUCAAUCAAAAUGUAUUGUGAUAAUCUAGCUACCAUCAGCAUAGCUAAAAAUCCAAUUCAUUAUGACAGAACAAAGCACGUGGAAAUUGACAGACAUUUUAUCAAGGAGAAAAUAGAAGAAGGAAUCAUCAAGAUGAUCUAUACUCCUACACAUCUUCAGAAUGCAGAUAUACUUACAAAGGCCCUUCCAAGAAUCAACUUCGACCAUCUAGUUUCCAAGCUGGGAAUGAUCAAUAUCUAUUGCCCAGCUUGAGGGAGAGUGUAGAAUUAAAAGAGUUAAUUCUGUAGGGCAGAUCCGAAUGAUCUGGAAUUGAUUUCCACAUGUGUCAUAUGUAUUUAUGUAAUUAUAUUUAGCUAUAGUAGUUUCCAAUUUUUCUCUAAUUUGGUUAGACAUGUUAGACAUAUUAUUUUCCUAACUUAGUGGCUAGAAUCAAGGAAUGUGAAUCAGCCUGUGAUUUCUCUUCCUAUUCUUGUAUAUAUUCAGCAUUCUCAGUAAUUAAUAAGAGAUAAGUCAUUUCACCAUCUUAUUCUAAACAAGGUAAAGAAUAAUGUGACUCCCAUGCCCCAAGAUUGUCAGUGUCAAAACAUCAGUCAGCCAAUUAAGUGCAUAUCUCAAGAUAUCAUCCACAAUGACUAAAGGAUUUCAAUUUUCAGCGAAAGCUUCAUUUUGUGAGACAGAUGAGGAUGCCAGAUAAUCAGUUAUCCCAAUAUAAAGUUUUGCAAGAUAUAAAGGAUUUGCCAAAGCAAGUACAAACAGACAAAAGACCACUGCAAUGUGAUGAUUGAGUGGAAUCAAAUUAAGCCCUUGUUUGUCGACCAUUAAAGUAGGAAAAUGAGUUUUGGAAUAGUGUUUUUGAAGAAUGUGUGGUUUAAAAGUAGGAAAAAAAUUUGGGUUUACAUGCAAACUAUUUUAUCAUGAGAAAGUGUUGUCCAAAAUAAGUUUGAGAAAAAAAGAAUUCUUUGAAAUGAUGUUACACAAAUUGGGGCUAAGAAACUUCUCACUCAAAAAAUAAAUAAAUCAAAACAAAAUGCUAGAAAAAAUAACAAUAACGCAGAUAAAACUCACAUUGAGAGAACUAUUUUCAGCUUUAAAGCUGUAUCCUAAAUGAUUAUCUGGCAUGAUCCACAAUGGCCACCAAUCAUUCUUCGCCAGGAACUGCUCCAACAACUGCUGUUCCUCAAAUUGGUCUUCACAGAAAUAUUCAAAAAUGCCACCCAUCCAUUGGCAGCAUAAAGAUAUGAUUCUAUCAGACUCUAAUUUAGUGUCCAGAAAUAUAAUGCAUUUUAUUGACUCAACCAAAACAGUUCCCAGGCUGUUUCGAUUAUUUAUGCCUAGACUUUUAAAGAAAUGAUUACAUAUCUUGCUACGAAAAGUAUGGAUAGCCUCACAGAAAAUCAACCUGAGCUCAAUUUCUCCCAUCUGCUUUUCAUCAAGGUCAUCCUCGGUUACAGUUAACAUAUUAUGUUCCCAGUCAAUAAUGAAUAUUGCAGCUAAUAUACCUGAAACUAACUCAGUUUCACCAUUAAUAGUCUUCAGACAAAAGAAACUACCAUUUAGAACAUCCAGGGCAAAUUGAGCCAUCUCAAGCAUAUUAGUAGAAGAUUCAAAUCCCCGGGAAGAAUAAUUUCUCCUGUGACUUAACAAAGAACAUAUAUUCCUAACCCAGACAAAACUAGAAUCCAUCAUGAAAGUCAUCAGCAUUCGAAAUAUUUCUUCAUAUAUAAGAACCGAUGUCUCUCUUGAUAAUAAGGAAAUUUUAUCAUCUUCUACUCCACCACCAAGAACAGCACUGCCACAUGAGAUGAAACGAAGAAAGAAGGUAAGAGUUUUUCCGACAAACAAGAAAAUUUAUGCACACUACUAGAAGAAUGAAGGGCUCAAUUACAGAAUAGACUAUUCAGGGACGAAUGGGAGGGAGAUGCACAGAUUACUUGUAUGAUCUCCAUUGAAUAAAGGAUUCGGAUAGUUUACCACCAAAAAUUAACAAUAAAUUGUUUGUGGAUUCGUAUUUCUGUUCUAUGGGAAGCAAGUUACCCUCCCAAAGAAGAAAGAUUAUAUCAAAAGAAUAAAUCAAACUGAAUGAAAUUGAAGCCAUAGGAAACAGACGGGAAAAACACUAUUUUAAGACAAAGCUAAGGUCAAUUUUUAGAAGUGGGUGAAUCUUCUGCAAAGCAUUUAAAUAUCUUAUCAUUCUUCUAAGUCAGCUAGUGACUAUUUUUGUUUGCAAUGGUAUAUGUUUAAAAGCUAUAUACGCUGGCUAUCCAGCCGAAACAUGUUCAAUGUGCAGUAGUCUGCCAACCAUCUGCACUUGAGUUAAGCUUUUAAUAUGGUACUAUUGUACACAUAACCUUCUCCAAAGUCUUCAUAUGUUGAAGUUUUAAAAAUUGACUAAUGAUUAGAGACUUCAAGAUAGACGUGUUCCACUCUAGAGGGAAUACUUUUUCAAUUACUGUAUGAUUCCAAAAGGGCAUGAUUAUUCUACAGAUAUUGAAAGUUCACAGACAACGCCAAGAAGUGAAGGUAGCAGGUGCAAAUUCUCCAUAACAUGCAUACAGAUAUUGAAAGUUCACAGACAACGCCAAGAAGUGAAGGUAGCAGGUGCAAAUUCUCCAUAACAUGCAUGAUUCCUCUCUCACCUCAUGCAUGACAAAAUUUAAACACAAAGAUUACUUACUAAAACGCCAACAGCUAUGAAUUAAAUUGAGUAAAUCCCAUAUCUAUGAGAAAUCAGCAGCAGUCUGCAUUGAAUAGUUAUAAAUGAUCACAAAUAAUUUAAGAUAUCACUAUUUACGUACAAUAAAAAGUGAGCAUCAGAAUUCCUAAAUGGAGGAAAAGAAUGGAUAAUAGAGAGAGCAGCUGAAUCUAGAAGCUCAUGAUGCCAUUCGUACGCGCAGGAUCCUUCCAGAUGAGUAUGCUUUCUAGUUCUCUCCCUAACCUUCUCUAUCAAUAUAGCCAAGAUAGAUAUUUUGUUGUCCACAGUUCCAGGACUAACACCCACUUGUUCUGAAUUUAUUAAAUACGUAAUGAUGGCAUCCCACUGCUCCGAGAAGCACUCUUCAUCAAGUAAUGCCAGCAAGAGGUCUAAUCGAGAUGCAUUAGAAGGACCAACUUCUCUCAAGCACGAGGGAAUAAUCCUCUCGUUGAAAUAUUGCAAAAAUUCUCGAGUCUGCAAAUCAAUGGAUAUAAGUUCUUGAAUAAUCUUCUGAGGCCCAAAUACCGAAGCAGCAACCACAAGAAGUCUCACUAAUUCUGGUGAGUCCUAGCGUAAACGGAACAAAAAUAGUUAUACAAGAAUGUAAUGAAUAGCAAACUAUAACAUUCCUGACAUAAGACUGGAGAAAACGACUCAAUGAUAUACUAAGCGGAGGAGAAAAAGAGAUCCCUCUUAAAUUUUUAUUUUUUGAGAUGCAAGCAAAGAAAUGUUUCACAACUACACAGCUCUCUUACAUUAUGCAAAACGGAACAGCAAAAGGAUAGCAAACCAUUGUGGACAACAGCAAAAGGAUAGUAAACCAUUGUGGAUAUCAUUGAAAACUGCUCAAGAUACAUGCAAUAGUAAGAUGGUACAUCUAAUUAUGACAAAAAAAUAUGAAUUUUGGAAGAAAAAACUACAGAAAAAAAGUUAAUCAGUCUCCAAUUCAUAUUACUAUACUUCUUCACUCAUAGGAAAGGAAGAUCUAGUUUAAUUCCAUACUAAAAUGGAUUGAUGACAUUUACUGGUAAAUCCACUCAUUUUAUUCACAGAGAGGAUUGCUAUGCCCGACCAGAGGAUUAUUUCAAAUUUAAAGGAAAAUUAUAAAUUCGAGCAACAAUGAUUGCAGAAUUAGUCAUUUUCAGAAAAAGAAAAAAAAAAUACCGAACUCGAGGAUCGACGGCACAUCAAAUGGACAGACCACAUCAAGUGCAGACUUGGAAUUAAGAAUCAAGCAUUCUGUUUGAUCAUUAUAUCUCACGCAUGUGAAAGCUACAAGUCUGUUAACUCUUAAGCAUGAAUUCUUUCUUCAAGAAAACCAUGUUUCUACAUGAACUUAUUCUAUGUCGAAGCAAAUUUAAAAACAGAAAGCAAACUGAUAUGAAUCGUCAAAAAUAACUAUAGUGUCAACCAAAAAUCAUAUAUUAUAGAAGUUCUUUUCACAUUCACAAGGUCCUUUAAAAUUAGGUAGGCAAAAUCAACUCAUGGAAAUCCCUGUACGUGCACAAUCUCAUACUGUGAGUAGACAAGUAACAAUGGAAUCGAAUAGUAAAAAAAUCAUUAAAAAGUUUGAGCCAAAGCACAUAAAAGAAACCCCAAUAGCAUUUUAUUAUAGAUGUGGAUCAUGUUGAUAAUAGUGUGUAAACAAAUGUUAGAAUAAGUUGUUCUCAAGCAAUCCUAGGGAUCCAGUUUAUGGAGGAUCCCAAUAAUUGAACAGGAUAAUAGAACUCUAACAUUAUUAAUGUAAUCAAAUAACUUCACAUCAAAACUCUUAGCUAUUGAGCAAAGUAUACAGUAAAAAAAAGGUUAACGCCUAGAUCAUUUUUACUAACCAUCGUAAGAGCUUCAAAGUUGCAUUCUUAACUUACAGAUGCUUCGAUGACUGGGAAAGACUCUUUCAACGUGGGCCCCAAUAAGUUAACCAAGGGCCAUGAUUCACCCUUCUGUACAGCAUGUUCGUCCAGUAAAAUUAAAAAUUUGACAGCCCAUUCUGCAUUUUGAGAAGAGCACUCUGUUUGCCGAAAUAUAUCCAGACAAUUCCCUUGAAAUGUUGAACAGAAAACCAAAAGCAGAUCAUGUUCCAGGCAAUGGAUCCCUGAAAGGAUUCUGAUGAUGCAUUUCCCAAGAUUUUCCUCAUAAUCUGCUGGAUAUUUGACAUUAAAUGUUUCCCUUGACUCAUUAUCAACAGGUUCAGUACUACACUUGGAUGAAGCGAUAGUAGUUUCAGAUAAGGAUGUGUCCUGAAAUUUUGAGCUGGCUGCCAGUAGGUACUCAUGCCACAGAAGACCUAUUACUACCGUAUCAACAAGAGUACGCUGGAAACUGUAAAUGGCUUCUACUCCAUCACAAUAUCUGCUACCAAAGAGGAGCAAAAGUAGCCAUUACAAUCACAAAAAAUAAAAUAAGAUUUAAGAGAACACAAUAAUCGUAAUAAACGUGUAUGCAUGCUUGUGUAUGCGUGUCUGUGUGAAGUAUACAAAUUGCUGUCUAACUCAAGGAACUCAUACCUAGAAGCAUUUCUUAAAGCCCAAAGGAAACAUUCUUCCAGUCCCAUGAAAAAUGCCAGUUGGUCAGUGUUAGAGAAGUAAGACAACUUUCUCCCUGCCCACAAAUUCUGGAAAAUUUGAAGGAUAAAUUUCUCUCCUACAAUUUCUUUUAGAGGAACUGUGUCUAAAAAUAAAACUAGUGCUGGGUGAGACACUUGCUGAGAUCCAAAACACCCAUUCUUCAGAAAAUCCCAUAACCGACUUAGAAUUAUUCUUUGAACAUUCAAGGUAAUCCAGACGUCUGGAUAUCUUUUACUAAAGAUUAGCAAUGUUUGCCACAUUGAUGAAUGGCAUGCUGGAUUCAUUUCCUGGAAAGCACCAAGUAUGGUCGCAGCUAGACUUCUCAUAUCACCUUUAUUUACAACAUCAGGUAUGUUUUUUAUAUAACUCCUCAGCACUGAAUAUGCAGCUGAACGGAUUGCUGGGCUUUGAGACUUUAGAAAGUCUAGAAAAUAUUUAUGAGUGGAGAACAAAUUCUCUGAACUAGAAACAGCCACAGUCAUAGCCCUGGCUUUUACAUCAUGCUUUGAUUCACCUAUCAUGUUGUCAGAAUCAGACCUUCCAAAUUGCCCAGAUGCAAAAACAUCAAGCAGUGUUGCCAAUGCCAGUAAUGAUGAGGAAACUACCUGAAAACCAACUGUAAAUUAUAUAAAAGCACUAUAACACAGGAAGAGGAUAAGAUAACCUCAUUGGGAAAAUUAAAAGGAAAUAUAAGGAAAUGAUAAGACAUCAGAUCUGAAGAAAAAUUGCUUAACAUACGUAUUUUAAUUUGUGGGUAGGGAUUCCUUAAAACGAGAAAAUUAUAUAUAUUAAGCAUAAAACAUUUCAAAGGGUGAUGUUAGGAUCUCGGAGUUCAAUCAACAAUAAACAUCAUUUAAUCAAAGAUUCCAAGGCAAAAAUGCAAGAAACAUAAACCGAAAAUACAACCCAUUAAUGGCCGAAAAUCUGGACAGCAACUUCUCUUGUUUAUGGCUGAUUUUUAGGCUCAGGAACAGCUCCCAUGUCAUGCAAAUCACCUUUUAAAGAGAGAGCUAGAAAAUCGGCAAAGAACCUCCUUUGAAACCGCCACCACCGCACCCCUCUCUUCUACCAAGCUUUGAGAAACAUCACCUAUACUUAGCCACUAUUUCAGGCCUAAGUUAUCACAAGGGACACUCAAGGAGAAGCUCACAAGAAGGCACUCUCAAGAACACUCACAAUAAGGUGCAAAUGGAGAGAGAAGUCUUAGGGAGAAGAGAGAGGGCCGAAUUUUAAGAGAGAAAGACUUGUUUUGCCAAAAACGUGAGAAACCCCUAUUUGGUGGAAAAUAGCCAAAGCUUCUUACACAAGCUAAAGCAACAAAAAAUAUCUCACAUAGAAUAAAUCCCAGCCGUCAAUCCCAUCCAAUGGUCCACAAUAAAACU
rnacentral:lncRNA from 1 species